ACGCGCGCGCACACACACACCUACAUCUCUCUCUCUCUCUCACUCACUCUCACACACGGGCGCGCGCGCGCACACACACACACACACAAGUCUAAUUCCAUGUGCCAUUCACUUGACCUACAUCUCUCUCUCUCUCACUCACUCUCACACACGCGCACACACACACACACUCACGAAUUUUAUUUCACACACACACACACACUCACGAAUUUUCUAUGAACAUUGAACUUGUUAUGUUUUUUUAAUUGAUUAACAUAACGCACACCACACUACUGAAAAAGCCCGUCGAAAAUUGAUGAUUAGUUUCUUAUGAAAGAUUAUAUAAUAAGGAGAAGCUUAAUAUGCUCUUUGUCCAAGUUGUAUUUUAAGUUCAAACAAUCAAACCAACUUUCGGAAAAAAAACUGUUUUUAAAUAGGGAGAAAGACUAGUUGGUUUGAAGACCUGGAUUGGGGUUGUAGCUAGUUGAGGACAAAUUAAAUCAAGGGUAUAUAUAAGCAAAUCUCUUUAUGCACCGUUAUAUAAUUAAUAUAAGGAGGUAUUUAUAGAAUAUUGCCCAACCGAUCCUUUUUGCUACUUAAGUAAGGUUCAAAAUGCAUGACUAGAAAAUUGCCAUCUAGGCAUAUAAAGAACACGAGACACGAUGCGACUCGGACAUGAUGAUUUGACAAUUUUUAAAAAAUUAGAACACAGAUACGACAUGAACAUGCAACGAUAAUAAAAUAUAAUAUUAGUAAUAUAAUAUAUAUAUACUUAUUAUAUAUAAAAUAUUAAUUUUGAUAAAAUAUUGUUAUAUUUUUCAUACGAAUUGAAAUUCAUAAAAUUUUCAUUAGCACUUCAUAAAUUUUAAGAAAAUAAAUUCUCCACCAUAAAUUUUCAUUGGCACUUCAUAUAUUCAUCAAAAAGCUAAAAUAUUUAUAAUCUUACAUUAUAUAUGAAUAAAAAAAUUAUAUAUAUAUAUAUAUAUAUAUAUAUAUAUAUAUAUAUAUAUAUAUAUAUAUAUAUAUAUAUAUAUCAAUUAUAUGCGUUAUGUAUCAGCAUUGAACGCGUGUCCAAAAAGUGUCCACAUCAAACACAAGUCCGACACGGACACGUGAGGCUUAUAGAAAUGUUCAUGAUAUAUAGAUUGCCAUACAUGUACGAGCAUAGAAGUGUUAACUAGAUAAUUCACUUAGUGAUCUAAGGAACAUAAAAAAAAAAAGAAGAGUAAUCACUCUAGCUAGCUAACUAAACUGUUCUUCUUUUUUUUUUAAUUUUUUAAGGUGUUCUAUAUUUCUAUACAGAUUAUUAAAGUAGAGAACACAAAAAAGAGUCUAAGAUUAAGAAGUAAAUGGCCACCUGCAUGCAAUAGCCUGUACAUAUAAUAAACUUUUUUGCUACAUAAGUAGGUAUUUCUAUUAUUGUUAUAUAUUUAUAGGAUAAACAUCUCUAUUAUAGUGAAUGCAAAAGAUUCUUAUUAUCUCCCUGAAAGGUGCAUAUUAUAAAUGCUUACACAUGGACUUUUCAUUUCGGCUUCCUCAAUUGACAAGUAAAAGGAAGAUAUAAAUAUAUUAAGUGUACGUUGUUCAUAUUUAUUGAGUUGUACAAUUUCUUCUUCUUCUUCUUCUUCUUCGAACUCCUGCUUUUUUUUUUUCCUCUUUUUUUUUUUGUGUGGACAAUUCCAACAUGCACAAGCCCAUUAAUUGAUUCCAAAAGCCCUGUAUCCUGAGCAACAUGUGCACAGGACAUAUAUUAUAUAGGAAUAAUUUCAUAGAUGCCCCUCUAGAAACUAUUAAUUUCAUCAAUACCCUUCCAAAAUUAAUAAUAUCACAAAUACCCUCCAAAAUGUGAAAAAUUAUCAUAAAUACCCUCCUCUAGUUAAGAUUCAUUAAAGCCCAUUUGAAUCGGAGUUAAAUUUUUAAAAUACCAUUUUUACCCUUUAUCUCUUUUUAAUAGUAGAAAUACUAAUAGGUAUUUCAAAAUAAUUUUUGUAAAUCUAAAUUUGAGUAUUUAAUAUAUAAAUAGUUAAUUAAAUUAUUAAUAUAUAUUAAUUAAUAAAAAAUAUAUAAAAAUUGUAUUUUAAAUAUAGUAUGUUUUUAUCUGAUUUUGGUUUUGUUUUUGGUUUUGGGUUUCGGUUCAGAUUCGGUUUAAAUAUAGACCAAAACUAUAUAACUGAAUUUACAUACGACGGGAUUUUAUUUUUUGGUAUCUAUAACUAAAACUAUCCCCUAUUCAGCAUUGAUUAAACUUAUCCCAUUUUAAAUCGAGUUUAGAUAAAAUUCCGUAUCUAUAUCAAUUCACAUUCCUAAUUAGUAAUAGUAAUUUUGAAAUAAAUUAUAGAUUUUAUUUUUUUCCUAUUUAAAAAUAAAUCACAUAAUUGUUUUGUCGAUUGAAAUAAAAAGAGAGUUUUGUUCAAAAGCUAAAAUAUAUUAUAUUUCAGUUUUUUAAUACACUUAAUGCAGAUAAAAUUAUCGAGAAUAAUUUUGAUUAAAAAAUUUUUUAAGUUUUCAAGAUUAAAGAAAGAUCGGAUAAUUCCUUAACAUUAUUUUCAUUUAAAUUUUUAUAUAUAGUUAUUUAUUUGAUAAAAAAUAAAUAGAGCCAUUAGAUUUGGUAAAAUCAUCAAAAAAAACUAAAAAAUUUUUUUUUUUUUAUACACUGAAAUUAGGUUUUUUUUAUAAAUAAAAAGUUAAUGGGAUAUCAACUAAAAAAUGAAAGUUGAGGGAGCUGUUUCAAAAUGCAUAUAGUUGAGGGGGUUUCCACACAUUUUUAGUUAAAAGAUAUUUGAGGGUAAAUAAGUCAUUUUAAAAAUUAACCCAUCUUUAACCAUGUAAUAACUAUAGUAAAACUAACCUAACUAACAGUAGGGGUAUUAAUGAUAAUUUUUUGUGUUUAUAGGGGUAUUGGUGAUAUUUUAAACUUUAUAGGGGCAUCUAUGAUAUUUUAAACUUUGGGAGGGGUAUCCAUGAAAUUGCCCCUAUUAUAUAUUAGCUGAUGAUCCCGUGCAUUAUGAGAAGUGCUAGAUGUACAACCCUCUUUGGACUGUAAUUCUACAACUUUUCUUGUUCAAAUGCCUCUUUUUUUUUUUUUCUUCCACUUGUUUUAUCACUUUUUUUUUCCUUUUUUUUUACGAAAAAUUGAAAUUGGGUCGGUAAAUCUUAUAAUACUUGGACGAGGAGUUAUAAGAAUUACAAUCUAUUUUGAUUGUAGGCUUAGCAUUUUUCAUGCAUUAGAUAAGUUAUAAAUGCGAUAGUACCAUGUAUCCCAAUAAUUUGGUAUAGUGGGGUGAUUGCAUUAAUAAAGCGCAUUGCACAUGCUUCUCACUUUCUUGCACAAGAAGGUAAAGAGAGAGACUUUUGUACCACAAAGAAGAGGAAAAAGAGAGAGACAUUUCGUAGCCCAUUGAAGGUAGAGAACAAGUUCAAUUUCCAAGGCAGAUAACCUACCACAAUUGGACAAUCUUGACUUACUAGGCAUAUUUAUAUGUAAGUAGCUUGUGCUUUGCAAACUCUAUGAGGAAUGUAACGUACAAUCAAAUUAUUACUGCGUAUAAUAACAAGAACCGUGUUGAAUAUCUUUGUAUGUACGUAAAAUUUAGUUGAUGAAUCAGUUUUUGCAUGCAUAUAUCUAAGAGUUCGGUAGUGAUUAAUUCUCUAACUGUUGAUGUAUAUGCAUAGUUUAGGUCGGGCGUCUUAGAGUCAUAACUUGAAUUAAUUUAAAAAACUAAACUAAUGAUUUACGAUCAUAUUGUGUCUAAAAAUAACUCACGAAUUCAAUUUAGAAAUACAUUGUAAUACAUACAAUAUGGGUUUUAUGCAGGUCUCUAUCUUUGUACCUAUCAUGAUAUUAGAAUAGCGUACACCGACCAGUGCAUAGCUAGCUAGAAAAUUGGGCGCUGUCACUACCAUGUCCCUGUAACAGUUGCACUACGAAAUGUAGGAUUGAAAAAUCUUAAUCCAAUCAAAUCUUAUCAUCUAUCGUACAUAUUUAUCAUUUUUAACAGCAAUGAUCACUAUAAUAAUUUUAAAUCCGACCUCCUCCGAAUCUUAUGAUUUGUAAGAUAAUAAAUUUAUCGAUAGAAAAAAAAGAAGUUGUAUGGAAUCUUAAUAUAUGGAAGAUAUUGUUUCGUGGAACACUUUAUCUUUAUAGAUACGAUGACGAGCGAAAACGAAAGGGAGAUGAAUCAAGCUAAACACGUGAAAGAGUUGGGCUCCAAUCUCUACAAAGAUUGCACGAAUCUCAGUCGCCGCUCAAACGUCGCUUAAUGGAUAUAUAAUUGAGAUCUUUCUUAAAGCGACUCCACGAUGGCCACGUCACCAUCCACUUCCAUGCACGUUACGAGUUCAAAGUCAUGCAUGCAAACAAGCCUCACGAAAAGCACAUCAUCAACUACUUAUCUUACUUACGUAUAUAGUUUGGUGAGUCGUGUGAUUGACAGUUUGUUCAAAGUUUUAAAACUCUAUUUUAAUAUAAAAGUUUUGAUUUGAAUCUUAAUACUGUAUUGGAUGAUGAAUUUAGGGGAUCCUAGAGGGAGAGAACGAGUCGUUCCUUCCCCGUUCAAGCUAUUAACUGCCGUGGAAUUUUAUAGAAAAAUUAUUGUAUAUAUCUACUGUAGUGGAUGCAUCCAUAGUAUUUAAAUUUUAUAUUAGAAGCUCUCAUAUUUAUAUUUAAUUUGUUAAAUAUUAUAUAUAAUACUUAAAAACGAGCACAUACAUAGUUUAAUUAUAUAUUACCGCUUAGAUUAGUUGGUAUCUUAAUUACAUGAUAGUAAUAUAGUAGAUAUAAGGCUGUGAUUGGGUUCUAGCUCUAAGCAAAAGAAUACGUGUCGGAUCAACAUAUAUUUUAAAUUUUAAUUUCAAUAUAUUUUGAUGUUUGCUAGUUAAUAGCUAGAUUUAUUUUUUUUUUGAGAAAUAGGUAGCAAGCUACCUGCUUCAUUCAUUAAGCAAAAUAAACUAAGCGUACAAAAUGGAAGCAGCCAGGGCCUCCGAAAGAACAGGCAAAAAGGAUGAAAUAAAAUUGAAAGGCAGAAAGAAAACAAAAAGAACAAAAAAAAGGAAAAAAGGAAGGGUGUUAAUAGGGAGAGAAGGGAUAGUAGCUGGAGCCGAAACAACACAUCACAGCAAAGAGUUCCAGUCGUUUAGCAGAAGUUUGACACGUUCAAGAGACCGGGUAGCGUUGUGCGUGGUUCCUCGGAAAAUUGCGUUAUUUCUAUCUGUCCAGAUCACCCACCAAGUUGCAGCGAGGAGGGUCAAGCGUCGUGUUCUUGAAGAGUCGACCGGAAUGUCACACGAUCCAGUCCAGAGAGUGUUGACGUCGCCCGUGCUGUCAUCAAAUGUACCCCAUCCUUUCAUACUGAAGAGCAGGUAUCUUACAUAUACGCAUGUAUAGAAUAGAUGGUCACAGCUUUCCAUGAGUACCGCGCAGAAGACACAGUGCUGAUCAACGAGCAUUCCACGUUUGAGUAGUCUAUCAGCAGUGAGUAAUCUCUUCCGCAAUAGCAACCAAAUGAAGACUUUGAUUUUGGCCGGAAUUUUGAGUUUCCAGAUAUACCGAUUCGUUGGGAUAUACUGUCCCGUGUCUGUGAUGAACUGGUAGAGGGAUUUGACAGUGAACAGUUGAUUGGAGGUCCAUCUCCAUUUAAUUGAGUCUGGACUGUCGUAGGGGCGAUGGCCUCGGAGCAAGUCUUUAAAAGUCGUUAACUGUCUGCGGUUUUCGAUGGAUUGUGACGCCGAGUAGCCGCGGCAUAUAAAGCGCCAUCUCCAUCCGCCGUGGUUCCAGCACUGAGAAACCCGAGCCUCCUUGUUCAUAGAGAUCUGAUAGAUAUCCGGGAAACGAGUGCGAAGGGGGGUUUCCCCUAUCCAGAUGUCAUUCCACAUCCUAAUGUUCCUCCCGUCGCCUAGCUCGUAAGUCACGCCACAGGCGAAAAUGUCUCGACACCGGACCACACCUUUAUUUUUUUCACAAAUUUAACACUAUUAGUUUUUACAACUAUUUACUAUUUGGAUAGGAAAAUUUUAAAAGUAACUCAUUAAAGGUUAGUAGAACAUUAUUUGUCCUCUAAGUACAAGAUCCUUUAAUCGGCGAUCGACAUGUCCCAUUAAUCAAGCGGUCCCCAUGGGACAUGGUGAAUCAAAUAACAUGGAAUCAUAUAGAGACAUACGUAUAGCUUCUGAUUACGUGUGAGAUAUUUGGACCAUGUUGAGAUUGGCUGUAGCAUUUCCACGUCACUAUGAUCUUGUUCCACACGUCUUUUUACAAAGUUGUAGGGCCAAAAGAGUGGGAAUCUACUACAGGUCAUCAAACCUAAUAGUCUUUUGCAAAGUAGAUGCUAACUAAUAAUACAUCAAUUAUAUAGACCUUUGUUUAGACUUGGCAAAUGGGCGAGUUGGAUAAUUUACGGGUGGGUCAUUGUACUAACGGAUUACUUGGACAUGGGUAAAAUUACCAUAAAUUUUUGGAUAGCCAAUAUCUUUACCCAUACCUAGCUGCGGGUGGGCAGCUGGGUAUGCGUUUUACCUGCAAUUUUUUUUNUUUCUCUUAUAUUUUUUAAAUGCAAAACACACACACACACACACACACACAUAUAUAUAUAUUAAAAGCAUAACAUAACUCAUUAUUUAAAAUAUUAUAACUUACAAUAAAAAUAUGUAAAGUUUUAAAACAAAAAUAUUUCAUAAUAUAAAAGACACACGGUAAUAAAUUAGGGUUAAAAUUUUUAAAAUGGAUAAAUAAAAAAAUAUUUUUUAAUUACAAAAUAUAUGUGCGGGUAUCCGUGGAUACCUGCGGGUUAUCAAAAAUAUUCAUAGCUUAAUGGGUGCCCACCUGUUUUACUUGUAAUUUUUUAGGUUGAAAAAGUUGGUAUUCAUACUUGCAAAUUUGCGGGUAAUCUGCGGACACCUGCGGGUAUGGGUCGAGAUUGCCAAGUCUACCUGUGUUGGAAAAUAAUACAAAUUAACCCAAAAUGUUAGUAGUCCGUGCAACAAUAUGAUAUGUUGUUGUAAGUGUAUGAAAUUAGUGCACUGAUCAAAUUAGUUUAGAAACUCAUAUGCAAUAGUAGGUUUAGUUAUUAUCUAGAUUUGUGGAAAUUAAUUAAUAGUAGACUAGUGAUUGAUUUGUGGAAAUAGUGGCUUGGUAAGUGAAGUUCAUGAUGGAGUGAGGUUUUCGAAACUUACGCGCAAUAGUGGGUUUAACGGAGAAAAUUAAUGUGUUGAACGAAAUUUUCUUUGCAAUUUUGUUCUUCAAUUUGUAAUCAUGUUGCUUUCUAGUGUGUUAAAAAAAUUACUUCUUCUAUUCCAUUGUCUUUAUGUACUGUAGCAAUUAAUCUACUAUUUUCUACUUAACUUUUUCUUCCACCACCAACCUGAUCAUAUACUCUAACAAAUUUUGUUUUAAAUUGAUAAUUAAAUAUUAAAUUUGGUCACUAUUAAUCAGUAAUUGAAUAUAACUAAAUCAAACAAAUCUGAUUUAUUCAUAUUAAAAACAGUUUUAUCAAUGUCACUUCCUAUUUAAGAAAGAUCGACUGAUCAAUACUAAAGGGGGGAAUUGGGUCCAUACAGUCCCUUAAUUUUUAUUCUAUUUAACAAAUUAACAAAUGCGUUUGCCUUUUUUAGCUUUGGAUAUGUGGAAAAGCACAUGAGCGGGUAUAUUAGUUAGCAAAGCAAGAGUGGGCGGAAUUUAAUUAAUGCACACCACAUAUAAUUAUGUGAAGCUUGAAAUCUUAGAUUAUCAGUGAAGUAGUUGUCUUGUUGUUUUCUAAUUAAUCAACACAACCAACCUAUUUUUAAGCAGGAAUAGUGCUAGUGAUUGAUGUGAAUUAACAUGAAGGAUUCGCUAAGCAAUUGCUAUGCGAAUUCCACUUAUUAUGGUAGCUAUGAGUAUUCAUUAUCUCAAUUUGACAAGGAGAGAUAUAUAACUAAAUAGUGAUAUAGUUGGCAAUGCAUGAAGAAUUAACUAGUUAAGGUACUCGUAAAUUGAUGCAUGCAAUGUAUGAAGAAUUAACUAGUUAAGGUACUAGUAGAUUGAUGCAUGCAAUCCUUCGAAAAUUUACUCUCAACACACUAAACCAUAAGUUAACAUGUAAUCUACAUAUAAGCGCGCACACAUAUAUAGAGUCGGACUCUCUCUCUCUCUCUCUCUCUCUCUCUCGAUCUAUAUAUACAUGUUUAUACUAAGUGAUCUUAAUUAUAUGGGUUCCAUUAAUUUGUACUUUCAAAAACUUUAUCCCUGCGUACACGUUUCUCUGUGGGAGACCUUUUAGUUCAAAAUCAAUGUGAAUUGGGUGGCUUCCCUGCUUAUAGUAAAGGAUUUUUUCAUGAAUUAAUACAAUUUUAAAUAAGCGCAUGCAUCUAGCUAGUACAUUAGUAGAACCCAAAGUAGCUGAAAAUUAAACAACAUGAUAACAAAAACACUGAUUAAUUGUUCCUAUCAUAUAUAAGUAUCAAAGAGCUUGAUAAUUGGUACCUGAAAUAUCAAAUUUAAAAUUUAAUUACUUCACAUUUAACUAAGUUCAUUUCUUAAAAAUAUAAACAAAGAAUGUAGCAUAUACUUCCAUUCUCUCCCCCUCCCUCCCCCUCCCCAAAAAGAAGAAAACCAAAAAAAAAAAAAAACAAGAUAACAAAAACAACAUAUAUUAAUUGAUCCAAGUAUGGUCUCUUUCCUGGAAACAUAAGGCAAGUGAGUAGGAUAUAUGUCUUUCCCCGAAUCUCUCGAUAUACGGGAGAUUAUAUUCUCCAUUUCAUGAUUUCUUUUUUUUAUAAUAUUUGUGGAUGCUUAUUCUGACAAUCCUUUCCACAAUCCUUUACGGCAAUCGAUUGCCCAACUUGUCCCNUGAAAGAAAGUGAUUCUAGCACAAGCGUGGGAUCGACACAAUGCAAUCAUGGAGCAAAUGGAGCCCAGUCUUAAUUUGGAUUUUGAUGCCUAUUGGUGAUUCACAGGCCCAAGUAAAGAAGUUUUUCCUAUUAUUUGGGGGUUGUAAUGUCAAAGAUUCUUUUUGGUUGUUGUGGUUGUUGUGAAUUAUAUAUAUAUAUAUAUAUAUAUAUAUAUUUUUUUUUUGAGAGAUAGAUAGGAUGUUAUACGCUUCGUUUAUUUUAUUUAGAAAUAAACUUAGCUGAAAAUGUGAAUGAACUAGGAUUCGAAUUUAGAACUUCGGGUACCAAUCAUCAAGUCCUUUAUCACUUGCAUUAAGAACAGUCGGUUAUACAUGUUUGUAAUUGAUCAACAAAAUGUUGAACACCUAGCUAAUUGAAGAUUCGUUUAUUCAAAUAGGAAUAGGAAUUGGAAUCGGAAUCGAAAUCAAAAUAAGUUGGAAUCGGAAUCGGAAUGACUCAUUACUUAAUUCUAUUUGGUUUAUCACCUGAAUCGGAAUCGGAAUAAAUCAUUCCCAUUGUCGGUAUUUGGUUCAGGUGGAUAUAAAAAACGUAAUCAAAUUAAUAUACUAAUAUUGUCUUUAUAAUAUAUUAAUUUAAAUUCAAAUUAAAAAUUAAAUAUUAAAACUUUACAUCAAAAUUUUGAAAUAAUGUCAAAAUUUUAAAUCUAUUCUUUUAAAAAAAAUUUAAACUUUGAAGUUGAGUGGAUAAUUCAAAAUAUGAAACUAAAUUUUGAUUUAUCCAAAUUCAAACUUAAAAUUACAAUUUAAAAUUUAAUUUGAAUCCAUAAAUUUAAUUUAAGUUUGAAAUAAAAUUUGAAUAAAACUUUAUAUAAAUUAAAAUUUAAUUUAAAUUCAAAUUCAUAAGUUAGAUUCGAAAUACUUAAUUAAAUUUUAAUUUUUAAUUUAAGUUCAAAUUAAAAUUUAAAAUUAUAUAUUUAAUUUUUAAAUUUUAGCUCAUAGUUUAAUUAAAAAAGUUGAAAAAAUAAAUUUAAUCGGAAUAAAUAUCCAUUCCGUCCGGAUUCAACUUCCAAUCCGAUUUCCUAGGCCGGAUUGAAAAUAGAGGUGAUUGGGGAAUUCCCAUUCCACUCAGGAAUCGGAAUCGGAAUGGGACUCCCGCGUACCAAACACCCACAAACGGAUUCACCUAUUCCGAUUCCGAUUCCAGAGUGAAAAAGAAGCGAACCAAACACGCCCAUAUGCUAUUGAGGUACUGUUUUAUUAAAGAAGACACAUAUAUAGCUAGGGCAUAAUGGUAUAUACUAGGAUGUAAAUGGUCAAAGUUAUUUGUGUUAAGCUGUACUUGUGCAGGAGUAAGGUACAUUAAAUCUAGUCAAAUUUAUCACUCUGAGUAACGGUUAUAAGGUUCAAUGCAUUUUAAUAUUGUCCAUAACAAAUUUAACUCUGUUAAUCUUAUUAUCUUAGAAAAAAUUGUAGAAAUUUCUUGGUACGUUAAAGGAUAAUCUUCGCUGAGUCAUAUGACUUCUGGAGUACGUAGCUUUAAUUUGUAUCUAACACAAAAGUAGUCAACAAAUGAAGCCUUAGGAGUUUUUAAAUAUGAUGGAUCAUGUAUGAAAUAAACUUCUCAAUCUUACAAAGAGAAGCUUCAAUUUGAAGAUUUAGUUUCUUUUAUGAGAAUUGUUAAAGAUUCUCUUUCAAAUUUGAACAAAAAUGCUUUUGGCAGUUAUUUGAUUAGGUUUUUAUUGAAUAAAUUUACAAGAAAAAGCACUUCGAUCGACAAAGAAAAGCAAAAAAACAUUUUGUUGUGAAGUUUUAGUAUAUAUGUACCACAUACACCAUUAUUUAUUGACAUGUCCGGCCAUUAAGUUGGUCACACUGAUAUUAUUCUGAUUAGCCCGUUUAAUUAGGUUUUGAUCUUACUAUGAAGAUUAAUUUCAUAAUCAAAAUUCAUAGAGCAUGUAGGGUACAACUUUACUAGACAAGUUGAAUAUACAAAGAGGAACAUAUAUAUAUAAGAAGACCAAAUCUUACCACACAGACCAAAAAGUUAUAGAGAAUAUCACAUUUGGUAUUAAAGAAAAAUAAUUGCAUGACUACCUGUAGUAUUCAAUAUAUCGUUCUUAUCUAUCGAUGAAGAUCAUUGCUAUAUUUAGGAGAUUCUCAUACCAGAUAAUUUAGAAGGUAAUAGUGACCUUGAAGAACAAUAAAUUAAGGUGUGUUACUAGAAAAUGAAAAAGAUUUGCUCUGCAAAUCGAGGUCUAUUAAAAUUAUUGGAUUUACCACCAUGGUUUGAAAGUGAUCCUAUGAGAAUGAAAGGUUUGACGUAUUCUUGAUUGAGCUCUAACAUCGAACUAACGCGCUAUUUUUAAGUUAAGUUUACUAUACUAACGAGCAGUUUACACAUCUGUAAAAUUAUUAGGUAUAUUGAAUGAUUCAAGCAUUAAUCUAUACACAUUUAUCUAUUACAUAUAAUGAAUCCUUAGUUUUUACAGGGGUAGCGCGAACGGGAGUGGGGUGGGGUGGGCACACCCCUUUUUUAAUUUUUUAUUUUAUUUUAUUUUCUCUCUUUCUAUUGAUUUGGAGAAGCGGACUUUUUUUGUUUAAUCCAAUUUAAUUUUUCUCUCUGGUUAUAAAAAUUUAAAAUAUAUAAUUAUUUAUGUAUAUUUUUAAAUAGUUUACAUUGCAUGUACUAAAUAUAAAUUUUACUUUUAUAAUAUUGAUCACUUAGAUAUAGAUUGUACAAUAAAAAAUAAAAAAAAGAUGGAUAGAGUUUGAAUUAAUUACUUAUUUAAUAAAUUUAGUCGUAAAAAUUACAUGAAGUACUAAUUAAAUCUGUAAAACUAAACGACGCAUUCAAAAUUUGAAAUCAAAGUAUCAUGAACUGAUGCAAAUCUAACAUAUAAAAAUGUUAGAUAGUAAAAAUAAAAUCUUGAAAGGUUGGAUAACUGAUUUAAAAUAGUUUAUCGUUCAGAAAAGUUCUGUACGUUUUUACUUUGAUUUUAAUGUCAAACUUAGUAUCAUAUUUAUAGUUUGAUGAGCGAUCAAUUUCACAUUUAAAAUAGUUUAGAAUAUCCAAAAUAUAAUUAGUCGAUUUUUAAUUUUAACAAUUGAGUGUUCUAAAAUUUAUUAGAUAGUUUAACAUAUUUUUUUCUCAAAUAAAAUUACUAAUUGAAUACAACCGAUCGAUACUCAAUUCUGUCUUUUUUUUAAAUAAAAUUAAAAUAUAAAAAGAAUUUAAUGACUUAUAUUUUCUUGCUCAAAGUAUGAGACACGUGAAGCUUUAGUUCUUAAACUUUAAUGAGUUGCAAUUUCAGACUUACUAAGUAAUUCUUUUUUAUCCUUUUUAUAUUUUUAUUCUUAUACUUUUACUGCAACAGCUGUUCUUUUUUAUAAUUUUUUAACAUUUAUUUGUUUCUAUGGAAUCGACUGUCGUACAGUGCGGAUACCUUCACUAGUAUAGUUUAAGUAUCCGACGAAAUCGAUGACGGGUUCGGCCACCACACUUCCACUAAGAAAAACAUUGUAGCUCACAUUUGUUUAGCUUGGACUCGUUUUUAGUUAGGAGGAUUAGGUCCAUUAAUUGAACCUCUUUAUACAAACAUUCAAAGCCCAAUAAUCACUUGCACAUAAAAUCAUUCUAGAGUAAGAUCUGAUAAUGCAAAAUUUGUCAAAUCACCCAUGCAUUUGAAGGGUAAUGAUUGUUCCUUUCCCUCUUUGGUAUGACAAUUAGGUGAUCCGCGUACCUGAUCAUUUGCGUCCACUCGAAUUUGUGUACAUUUAAAGGAAAAUUGCAGCUUUAGAGGAGAAAGAUGAAUAGAUCUCAUGUGACCCAACUCGACAGGACCCCACCCAGUUAGACACAAUCACUGAGUAAGGAUUCGGCACCCACGCGCAAAGGACCCAACAUUGUCCUCCUCUCUCUUUUCAUUGUCCGACAACAAUUAAGUUUUAACUAAAGAAGAUCGCAAAGUGACUGUUGUUAAAAGCAGAAGCCGAAAUAUAUAGUUCUGCGUAUACAUUUAGUACCCGUGCUACGUACACAUGAUCAUUUCCUAUUUAUGUCCAAGAAGGGUUCCAAUUAAUAUUUUUCGACAACUUAUUUGGUGCUUUAUGAAUGAAACUUCCAUAUUCCCCUUUUUUUUUAAAAAAAAAUGCGUAAUUAACAUCGUAUUUGACAAAGUUUCUUAAUUACUCAUUUGCUAAAAAUAAUUUAAAUCAAAACACAUGUAACUUAUUAGAUUGGUGAAUAGAUAUACAAAUACAAUAAACACAAACUAUCUACAAGUUUUGUUGAUUGGAUGGCAUGUUACGCGCUAGCACUAUUCGCUUAAAGUAUUAUUUGAUCAGUACUGUGAGAAAAAAGUAUUAUAUUAAAUAAUUUUUAAGAGGAAUUUUCUAUUUUUCACAUUUAGAAUAUUUGUUUCGAUUUUAAUUUUGUUGCGUGGAGUUGUAUUAAUUUAAAGGUUUGAAAAGAGAUAUAAAAAUGCAGUCAAAUAGGUUCUUUGGGAACUAUACAUGACAACGAUAGGUGAAUGUCAAACUCUUUUAUAAAAUAAUUUAUGAGUUACUUAUUUUUCUCAAUCUGAAAGUGGUGACUUAUAAACUAUAAACUUUAUGGGUUGACUAUCAUAAAGUCAAAUUAAGUGAUAUAGCUAUAAAUUAACUUGUUUCCAAACUAUAAACAAAUUAGGUGUCAACAACUAAUUAGUGCUAGGGAUCUCAAAAAAAAAAAAAAAAAAAGUCGGUUCUUUUUUUUUUUUCCAAAGUUAAUUGUUAAUUAGGGCAUAAUCCUAUUAAAUUAUUAAAGAAUUAAAGAAGAGUACAAAAAAGAUUCUCCAAUCCAUAAUAAAACUCGAUUUUGAAGAUAUUGUGCCCGUUGAGUGUUGGAGAAUUAGUAGUAUAUAUUACCACAUACAUGCAUGCUUUGAGCCUUUGACAUACACCUGUGCAGUACAAUUGCAUUUCGCUACAUUAAUUAAUGAAAUCUUUGAUUAGAGGAGAUGAUAUUGUAGGAGAUGCAUACUUUUUAGGAACAAAUCAAAUUUAUAUAUUAAUUUGACCAAAAAUCAGUGAAUAAUGAUCAAAUUUAAUAAAUUUAUUUAGUUAAUAAUAAGUUUUAAUGUGUUAAUACUAACACCAUUUAGUUAGGUAUCGCACAAAUCCGAAUAGUUGAAUGUGUUGAAUAUAAAUAUUUAAAUUUCCAUUCUCUCAUUGCUUAAGUUUUUGAAAAAUAAAUAAUACUUGUUUUAUAUGAUUUAACAUGAUAUCAGAUCAGGGGAUUAUGAGCUUGAAUCUCACUUACUUUAAGCCCAAUUAUUUUAUAUAAUAUAACAAAAUUAUCGAUUAAUUAUUAAGCACCACAUUACAAAGCUGACUCCAUUAUAUAUAAUUGGGGUAUAUUUUGAGAUACCUAUUCAAUUCGCACCUGCACCAAACCCAACUCAGGAAAUGGAUUAGUUUCUCAUUGACCAGAUUAAAAUUUUCUCAUUGACAAAAUUAAAAUUUAAAACCCAUGAAUAUUAAAUAAAGCUCGAUUAUUCUCAUAAGAUUCCUCAACCAACUACCAACGAAAAUACUCCCCCUGCAUAUUUGGAAAGGAAAACUUCAAACAUGUCCUACGAAUCAACUAAAACAUGUUUAGUUAUGAAAAACUUCAUGGCUUACCAUUUUCUGUACGUUGGGGCAGUUGCCCGUGGCCCACAAGAUGGAAAUUUGUUCUGUGUAUUUUGAUGGUCUAAUGUUUAAUUUCUUUUGAUUCAUUUUCUAUUAGGAAAAGAAAAUGCUUCGUCAUUCGAUCAUUUUUAUUAGCUGCCUAUUAUUUAGGCUCAGUGUAUUCAAUAUUCAUACAUCCAUACACCAUAUUAUUAUCUUGCCGUCGUCUGUAAUUCAAAAUAUCAGCUUUAUACGAAGCAAUUAAUCCAGAUGUAGUCUUAACAGAAUAGCUUGCGUGUAAGUUAAAAGUCACAGUCAUGGAUACAUGAAAUUAAUCGAAUGCAAAAUCUCUUAAAAGUUAAAACUGAGGGAUCAAAACCAACCUCAUAUCGUACUAUAAGAAAUUGUGCAGCGCUAAUUCUAAUACUAUACUUUUCUUAUUCAUUGCUCUUUUUCUUACAGAGAAAUAUAUCAUGCUAUUCGUUUUGUUUAUUCUUCUAAAAAAAAUAAAUUUGAUUUAAAAUGUGAAACAAUUAAGUUUUAUAUUUGAAACAUUGAAUACCAGCUGCUAUCAAUCUCUUUGAUACAUGCGCUAAUUAAGGGAGUUCGAUUCUUUCGUACUUUUCAAUCCCUACCGCGUACACACUAAAAAUUGCUAAAGUUUUUUUUUUUGGUUUUUUGGUUUUUUUUUUGGUUUUGACUUAAAAUUAAAUAGUGAGAAACUGGUAAUAAAGUGUACGAAUACACGGAUACACCGAGCGCAUGCGAUAAUUUCCUUAUUCCUAACAUAGGAUAGGAUCUUUGAGCACGUCCCCCGUAUCUUUGUAAUCUACAAAUGCUUGGCCCGAAACGACGUCCGCAUAAACCAACCCCAGGAUUUUCUCUGCACCCCACCAAGAUCUCUUCCUCUCUCCCACACUAUUUAUUAACACUCCCCCCCUCCUCCUCCCUUUCGAAAAUUAACCCAUACAACAGAAGCUAGCUAAUCCCAAAUUAAACCAAUGGCUUUCUCUCCCAUCUCCUGUUUCCUUAAGGUCACCUUCCUCGUCGCCAGCCUCAUCUCCAUCGUCGGCCAACUCCGGCCGCCGUGGCCCCGGUCGCUGCCCGACGACCUCCUCGCCCUCGACAUCGCCCCCCGAAUCCGCACCGACCCCGCCGCCGCCGCGCUCGCCUCCGCCGACUUCGGCAACCUCACCGCCGGCCGGCCGCCGCCUGCCGCCGUGCUGUAUCCGUCGUCGGCGGGCGACAUUGCCGCGCUGGUCCGAUCCUCGUACGCGUCCCCGCGGCCGUUCCCGAUAUCGGCCCGCGGGCACGGGCACUCGCUGCGAGGCCAGGCGACGGCCCCGGGCGGCGUGGUGGUCGAGAUGGCGGCGCUGGGGAUCGGGCGGUCGGAUCGGAUUAAUGUGUCGGCGGGGAGCAGCUGUGGGGGGACGUGCUGCGGGCGGCGCUGCGGCACGGGCUGGCGCCGCGCUCCUGGACAGACUACCUGCACCUCACCGUCGGCGGCACGCUCUCCAACGCCGGGAUCAGCGGCCAGGCGUUCCGCCACGGCCCGCAGAUCUCCAACGUGCUUGAAUUGGACGUGAUCACCGGUACGACCACACUGCUAGCUAGCUAUUUUUAUUAUCUCCUCACUUUUAUUAUAAAUAAAUUAGUCCAAUAUUAGUUAUAAACGUCACAUGUAGGUCGAUAGUUACCAGUUGCAGGAGAAUUAUCGCCUGCACCCGGUGCAUCCGUAUAUCUCGUGCUUCAGUUUAUUUAUUUAUUUAACCAUUAAUUAAACUAUUAAAUAAAAUAAAAAUGCUGCAUUUACGAACAUAGGAGGAUUUUGAGAUUUGUGAAUUUUGAGUUUUGACUAUCAAAAUUGUAUCCAAUGCCUACUAAUUAAUUAAUUAAUUAAUUAAUUAAUAGACGAUGGUGCACGGAAUGUACAAAUACACCGGGUGCAUCUAAGUAAUAGAAAGUCCCCAUAAUUUUAGCACCCACGUAACCACGUUCGCUCUCGCCGCUAAUGACCACGUCGGCACAUGCGCGUAACACAGGAACGGGCGAGACGAUCACGUGCUCCAGGGACCUGAACCCGGACCUGUUCUACGCCGUGUCAGGCGGGCUGGGCCAGUUCGGGAUCAUAAUCCGGGCCCGAAUUGCACUGGACCCUGCCCCCAGCAUGGUCCGGUGGGCCCGGCUCAUCUACACCGACGCCGCCGCGUUCACCGUGGACCAGGAGCGGCUCAUAUCCCCCAGGCUCGGCGGCGCCGGCGCCUCUCGGCUUCAGCUUGACUACGUGGAGGGCUCGAUCAUCGCCGACCACAGUCUCAUCGGGAGCUGGCGAUCAUCGUCCUUCUUCUCCGAGCCAGAUAUCGUGCGGAUAAGCGCGCUCGCAACUCGCCGUGCCGUCCGUACCGUGUACUGCAUCGAAGCUGCCAUUUACUACGAUGACAUGACCUCAGCUUCGGUCGAUCAGGUAAAAAUAAAUAAAAUUACUCUUGAUCUAUGUUAUCACUGUAGUAACAUUUUUAAGUUAAUUUACAUACGCACACGUUAAAAAUACUAAUAUUAUAUAAAUUCGUAAGAGUUAAAAAAUGGCAUACGUAAAUUGAUGCUUGGCUCCCAUAUCGUAAUAAAGAUCUCGUGUCUCUUUUCAUAGGACCCACGUGAUUCGGUCCACAGCGAGAGAUCCUCGUGUGUGCGCGUCCCCAAACAACCCGAAAUGGAAACUUUGGUCGUAAAUUUGAACUUUUGAGGUGUUGGGUUUCCAUUUUGGGCAGGUAUGGGUGCUUGUUGGGUGAGCUAAGGUGGUUCGCUGACCCAACAAGGCAACAACGUUGUCAACAACUGAGUCGGACCGAGCCAAGUUGUGGUUGUGGGUCAUAUGAGUUUGGGUUCGGUGCAUAUAUGCUACGUACGUGUGGUCCCAUAUUUGUUUUUUGGGGCCAAUAUGUGGAUAUAAAUGGGACGUGGAGCUUUUAUGCAUCUGUUCACCACGUCGUACUUGAGUCCCUCUUUUGUACGCACACAAUCUUUUUUUCCAAGUUGCUUUCGAGAUUCUCCACGCAUUUGUUUUCUACUUUUUGGAUGGCUUUAGUUUCUUUUUUUUUCAUCUUUCUUCCAGUGUCCUGCAUAAAAUAAAAUUAAAAAAAAAAAAAAAAAAAAAAAUUCUUAUAUGUGUAUCACGCGUCGCGCCACAAGUGGACAGCGAAUCGCCAUAAAAACAAAAUUUUAUGUGCAGGAAUUGCACCUCAUGGCAUAGUAGAGUUUACGUCAUGCAAGCCACUGUUUGUUGAUGAAAAGGAUAUAUCAUAUACAUGUCAGUGUUUGGAUCCUCACUUCCAUACAUAUUAGGAACAGCAACAUGCUAACACCAUUUGUGAUCAAUUAAUCAUUUCGAUUUUCCCCAUUAGAUGGCCCUCGUACUUUUCGAUCGGUAGCCUAAAUGAUCAGCAAAUAACUAAAUCACUUGAGAGGAAUCCAACUCUAGGACUUGAUGUCCUAUGCUGAAGAUUAAUUUGGUGUGUAUGAACAAAGGAAGAUCUGUUUCAACUUUGACAUUAAUUUCAUAUACCUACCGUAUAUUUGCUAUUAAUUAGAAUCUACAUUGACAAGUAAGGUUUCUUAACAGGAACUCAACUCAUUGCUUCAAGAGCUAAGCUUUGAGCCGGGGUUUGUGUUCACACGAGACGUGUCGUACGUGGCGUUCCUUGAAAGAGUCCACGAAGGCGAGCAAAAGCUCCGAUCGGUCGGACUAUGGGAUGUCCCUCAUCCUUGGCUAAACAUCUUCAUUCCCAGGUCUCGAAUACUAGACUUUGAUCGCGGAGUGUUUAAGGGAAUUCUUAAGCACAAUAAGGCCAUGGGCCCCAUUCUAAUUUACCCCAUGAACAAAAGCAGGUAAGUGCAUUCGUUACUCAAUUUUGUUCAAUAAGAAAAUCAAAAGUCUCAAGUUUGAAGAAAAGUAUUGUUUGAAUAGCGCCUACUAUCUUUCUUCUACGCUACUAACUUUCAUUUUCGCUACAACAAAAAACUGUAGACUUUUUAUGUAGCAAGAAAUGUUGUUCUAAAAAUCAUGACAAGUAGGCGCCGGUUCAUUGACAAAUUGAGAAUUCAUCUUAAACUGUGAUUAGUGCAUGAGUUAGUUGAGGGUCUUUUCUGCAGGUGGGACGAUCGGACGUCAGCAGUGGUCCCCGACGAAGAAGUUUUCUACACCAUAGGCUUGUUGAGAUCAGCAGUAAAUGAUGAUUUGGAAUUUUUGGAGGCCGAAAAUGCUGAAAUACUCCGAUUUUGUAAUGAGGCUGGUAUUGAACUUAAGAAGUACCUACCUCAUUACACAACUCAAAGUGAUUGGAUGAAACACUUCGGUCCAAAAUGGGGUAAGUUCGUGGAGAUGAAGAUGAAGUAUGACCCAAAAGCGCUCCUAUCUCCAGGGCAAAGGAUAUUUACCCCAUUGAUAGAGGGUUAUUCCACAGAGUGACUCAAAGAGAUUUACAUCUCAUUUUAGGUCGAAUACUUUGAUGUACAUCUUGUAAAAUGCUAGCCAUAGUUUGUAGAAAUUAAACUAUUCCACUUUUCGAGUCUUUGUUUGUCAAUCAAUGAUCUGCAUAUAAUUUUCUACAGCAUGAUUAAAUACAUUUAGGGUGUGCUUGGUUUAAUAUAUUGCUUUCCAUUCCGACUGUUUGAUCAAGGAGAUGCUCCUUUUCAGUUUCUAUUACAGGGUAGAAUAAGAAAAGCAAGCGAUCGACCUAAAACUGAGACAGUAGUGAAAAUGUGGAGUCAUUUUUGAACCUCAAUUGAAGUCUCAAUUCAGCUGCCGAAAGAGCUGCAACAAAUUCAAUCAAGUCAGAUCAUAGUUUCCAUCGAUUUUGAUUUCGCACGCCAAAACACUUGUAAAUGACAAAGAUUCUAAAUACGCCAAAAUAGAAUUCAAAGUAAGAACAGUGUGAUUGACACAGGAAAUUUAACUGGUUCCAAAGUUGUGCUCAAUCUUUUAGGUUGGAUCAUUUUAGAUGUCAAGAUGAUGUUUCUAGGUACUACAAAUUUGGAGGGGCUGGGCCAGUAUCGUUUGAGUGAAAGAAAAUAUGAUGGAACAAAACAUGUACUUGACUUUGGCCACCUCUAUUACAUCAUGGACCACUCUAUAAUAGCUUUGUUACCACUCUAUAAUAGUUUCUUUCGCCAGCAUGACAAAAUUUGUUGCUUUAAUCUCGUACGAGAAGAUGAAGAUUUGGCAAGUAAAGUUUUUUUUUUCUUAGUUUUAUGUGUGGAAAAUCCUAUUGACGGUAAUGAUAUUUUUUUGGCUGUUGCGCAGCUAAGUCUAUGACGAAAGUUACAUUACUUGCAUACAAACUAUUAGUGAAUAAGUAGAAUUUGCUCAUGAUUGUAUAAAAAAAAAAAUCUACAUUACGUUUGAAUAAUUUUUAGUUCAAAAUGAGACCUAAUUAGUAAAUAACUAGAAUUUGUUCAUCAUAGUAGGAGUAGGAAACAUGGGCUCGAACAAUUUGGCCCAAGAAAUGUUUAGAUUUAUGGACACGCCCAACAUUUGUUUAGGAUCCAUGUAUUGCAUUACGUGGGCUAAUUGCGAGGGGCUAAGUUUCACUGGUCGGACCAUUGGUUUCAAUGGUAAAUCUCUACUUUAUUAUUUGGUCCACUAUAACUUCAUCUUCGGGUAAAAAUUCAAAAAUUUCAAAAUAGCAUAAAUAAUUUCGACUUAGCUGAGAUCUAAGUCAAAGAUGAAAAAAAUAAAAUAAAAUAAAAUUAUUAAUCAUCUCUCACAGCUUUAAUUUUUACGCUAUUUAUUUUCCACCAAAUAAAUGAUAAAAUUGAAAAAAAUUAUUUCCACCAAUGUACAAAAUAAACAACAAAAUAGUCAUCAGGAAAUUUACUACAUGCGUGAACCAACCUGGUGUGUUGGGCGAGCAACGGACGAGGCCCGGGACCCCGCCCACUUCUACUUCUUCUUCUUCUGGAUACGAGUCGUUCGGAGGGCGAUGCAGUUCGCGGCGGAGGACCACCGCUUCCUCGUCCACCUCUCCCGCCUCCUCCGCCGCGAGAGAGGGGCGCGGCUAUGGCUCGGCGCCGCGCUCGUCUCCCUCCUUAUCCUCCUCCUCCUCCUCCUCGCGCCGCGGAUCCCCCAUUCCCCAUCCCUCCACAUCUUCGCCGACAUGCGCAACUUCCUCGGUUGUAACCCCCUCUCUCUCUCUCUGCAUCUCUCUACGAACCCUAAUCGUGCCCAAUUGCUUGAUCCCGCUUCCGCCGCAGGGGUGCCCAACACGCUCAACGUGCUCACCAGCUUCCCCUUCUUGCUCGUCGGAGUCCCCUCCCUCGUCCUCUCCCUCUCCGGGAGCUGCUUCGGGAUCAGGUGCGCUAGGGUUCCGCCGACGCUCGAUUUUCCUGGAAAUGUUCGGAGUUCCACUCCGAUUGUGCGCCAUUUUGGAAUAAACCCCUUAAAUUUUCGUUUUUAGUCAGGGGAUUUGUCAAAAUUAGAAACUUUGAUGGUCAUUGGCAGGUGACAAUCAAACGGAAUUCGCAAUUACCAUUUCAAAAGGGCCAAGUUUGCGAGGAGUUUCUUUUCAAAAUGGCGUACAUUUGAGGGGGUACGUGCACAUGUUGUACCCGUUCUCUUUCCCGGACCUGUUCUGUUUAUAUGGUUUGGUGACAAUUAGAUUACUAGGAAAGUGUUUGAUGGAUGUUCCGUGUGGGUUGUAGCUUGAAAGGAGAGGUCUUGGGUUGGGCUUUUUUCUAUGCGGGGAACUCGGCGUUGGCGUUUGGAUCCGCAUAUUAUCACCUUAAGCCGGAUGAUGAUCGAAUUGCUUGGGACAGGUUACCGGUAUAUACGAACCCAAUCUUCUAUAAUGUCCUUUUUAUUCUGCAUUGUUGUGUGAACAUUUGAGUUUGUGAUGUUGUAUUGUUAAAUGGAAGCAUCUGCCUAAUAGUAGUUGGGUUCCAGAUCUUUCUUCUAAUCUUCGAAUAUGUAGAUUUUUAUUCACUUCAGAGACUUUGGAAUUGUACUAUUUGUAUUUUUUGUUAAAAGAAACUUGCACAUUUCUCUUUUGUUGAUUCUGUUAGAACGCAUGUUCUUUCAAGCAGAUGAUGAUCUCAGCCUCUUCUCUAUUGUCUAUCUUAGUGAUAGAGAGAGUGGAUGAACGGAUUGGAGUAUCAUGUUUGUUUUCACUCUUAGCCCUCGUACUCCUCAGCAUCGUAUGUGAAAGGUAAUUCAAAAUUUUUCUCGUAAAGUAAACUCGACUUUUUUUGUACAAACUCAAAAUGCUUAAAGAAUGGCUAAUAUAUUUUUCUGUGGAAUGUGCUAUGUUAGCUGGUUGCAGGACCUUUAACGAUCUUCGGCUGUGCAUGAUGUUCCAUAUUUUUCCAUGCAUCGCAAUUCCUGCAAUGGUUUUCUUGUUGCCGCCGAAGUAUACACAUUCAAGAUUUUGGAUUUUGGCGACAGGUCAUUUCUAAACUGUGACCAGUGAGCACAUUUCCAGUUUUCAGUUUCCUCCAUUCAUUUUGUUAUCUGCAAAACACCCAUUUUGGCCAAUUUUUUACUCUAUUUUUACAUAUAACACUUUCAACUUUUCACGAUGGAUAUCUGUACAAUCUCUAACUAGAAUAUAUCAAUUGAAUUCUGGAUCAGAAACAUCGUCCGGUCCUUAACAAGUAGGAGGUGUCUGAUUUUGUGAAGUGCAAUUGUGAAAUCUCUUCUCUCUCUGUUAAGGCUUAUGGUGAUUGACUCUCCAUGUAAAUUUAAUGGGUAAAAUUACUUACUAGUCGAUGAACUUGAGGCCAAAGUUUCACUUUUAAUAUUAUAAGCUAAUAUAUGAGAAUUUGUUAGAAUUGAUUUUUUCAAGUUUUCGAACUAUGCAUCUUCUUUUAUUAUCUAUUUAUAUGUGGGUAAAGUUGUACAAAAAGCUGUUGCAUGUAAGACGUUGUUGCUGCAAAUACGCAAGACGGUUCCUGUUAAGGUCUGCCAACAUUUUUAAGGAGUUGUAAUGCUAGAUGUACUCAAGAAGAUAAGAUUACAUUAACUCAGAUAUUCUGACUGAUUUUUAAAUCUUAUUGAGCUAAUAUUAUAACCUUAUAGACCAAAUAACAACAUUUAGUAUACUAACGGACCGUUUGGUUCCUGGUUUGUAAUAUUCCGGAAUUGUUUUACAUUUUAUAUUUGGAAUGAUAAACUUGUUACUAAAGUUAACCACUUGUAUUUGGGAGGUUGCUAGGGACUAGUAUAUUCUUAUUAAUGGACCCAUUAAAUAUGGGAAUGAGAAUACCUCUUAAUAACCAAUCUAAUAUUCUUACCGGCUAGGGAAUCUACAGUGAUUCCACUACUUCACUAAUAUCUUUUACAACUAUCCAACUUAAGUUGAAUUGUAAUGAUUUGAAUAUUUUUCAAUAAAAAAUAUAGGAAAUUACUGGAAUAUUACAAACCGUAAACCAAACGGCCUCUAAGGUUACAAACAAAAGAGGAUCUUUCGAUGGAUAAGGUCUUACUCAUCUUCUCAUUGUUUGCACUUUGUUUCUCUGAUGGUUGUCAAAAUUCAGGUUUCUACCUUCUGGCGAGAUUUGAAGGUAUUGCUGAUAAAAAGGUUUACAGUGUGAAUCGAUACUUCAUCAGUGGCCACUCCUUGGAGCAUCUCUUUUUGGCAGUGGUUUCCAUCAUACUAACAGUAAUGCUGUGUCUCAGAAGUAUUAAGAUUGCCAGGUAUCCACAUAACCAUAAGUGAAUGGAUAUUUUUUGGUUUUUCAUAAAACCGUUAGUUUCCACACAAACAAAUUUAACAAUAAGCAGUUUAUAUAGGAAGAAAUGAAAUCUUUGUAGAUUGCAUACUGAUUGGGGUUUAACCUUCCUGCAGAGAUUACUAGAACGGACCUGGGAUUGAGACAUUUGUAAAUUUAAUGGGGAAGUAGUGAAGAAUCUAUCGAGAACUGAUAUCGACUUUGAAUUUGGACAGUACAGUUUGUAGUUGACUGGUACAAUUUCUUUCAUGCUCUUCUCUACUACUGAUCUUUGCAGCAACAUAGGUCUCAGAAUGUUGUUUUUUAGCUCUAUUGAAUAGCAUGUAUGAGUUGAUGAAAAAUAAAUUCGCCUGUUUCGUUGGAUAUACAUAUACUUCAGUAAUGAGCUUAGGUUCGUUUUGUAUAUGAUUUAAUGCUUGUUUUUUUUUUUUUUUUUUUUUAUUAUCAUCAUCAUCAUCAUCAUAAAUAGCAAUGCUGAAGAUGAGAGGUAUUCUAAUAUUUGCAUCAAUGUUUAAUUUGUAGCUUCUUGAAAAAGCCUCUCUACUUGAAGAUGUAGCAGUGAAAUAGUUAGCUAGUAAGAAAGUUUCAGGCUUUCGUUGUUGGGUGAAAAUUUGAAGUCAAGCUUCUCUACCAACUUUUUUUUUUAAAAAAAUUUUUAGCUAGGAAGAACUAAGAAGUGCUUCAAUGGGACUCCAAUGAAAUAAACUGGUAGUAAGGUGCUAAUAUAGGCCAUUUUGAAAUUGAUCAUAGUUUUUUUGUAAAAAAAUUUUAACGUCUGUUUAAUUAUUUUCUGUUGUAAUUCUAGUUUUUUUUUUUUUUUUUUUUUUUUUUUUUUUUUUUUUUGUAAGACUCUGUUAAUUUAGUGGAACUUCUAAUUUAUUUGGUUAGAAUAAAAUUGAAUAAAAAUAAAUAAAUGUAUAUAUGCGUUGUAAAUAUCAAUAAAGAAAUAAAUUUAUAAUAAUCAAUGUGUGAGGUGAUAUUCACACACCCUUUUUUUUUGUUCCCUUGUAUCUCUUCGGCGUUCCCCAAAAUGGUACCCACAUGCUACCGCUCCUCUUCCUCCUCGGCGCAAGUCGACGACGCCACUCUUUUCUUCUUCUUCUUCCUCUCUCCUCCUCCCAUUACCACCAUGGACACGAACCCGCCGAGCUCGACCUCGACCUCGGCCUCGACCUCGACCUCGAGCGCUCCACCUUCCAAUGGAACGCCAAUCUCCGCUCCCACCUCACUCGUGGCGCGCCCACCGCCGCGCUCGCCCUCUACUUCCGCAUGCGCUCCCUCGGCGCCCUCCCCGACCACUACACCCUCCCCCUCGCCCUCCGAGCCUGCUCCGGCGCCCGCGCCUCCCGCGCCUGCUUCCUCGUCCACGCCCACGCCGCCUCCACGGGCCUCCACCGCCACCUCCACGUCGCCAACGAGCUCGUCGUCAUGUACGCUCACCUGGGUCUCAUGGAAACCGCCCGUAAGGUGUUCGACGAUAUGCCGCACCGAAGCGUGUUCUCUUGGAACGCCCUCCUCUCCGGGUACUCCUCAAGUCGCGAUCUGGACCGCGCGCGCGAGGUCUUCGCGCGGAUGGAGGAGGUGGGCCCCACGCCCGACGCCGUGACGUGGACGGCACUCCUGUCGGCGCACGCCAAGUGUCGGCGCCACGGCGACGUCGUCAACCUGUUUGACGAAAUGAGGGCCAAGGGAUGCAGAGGCACUCCGGAGUCCCUCGCCGUUGCGCUCUCCGUUUGCCCUUACGUCGACGGCGCGUUGUUGGACAAAGGUAGAGAAAUCCACGGCUACGCGGUCCGAAACGGCUUCGAAGCAUACUCCUUUGUGAACAACUCGCUUAUAUGCAUGUAUGGUAAGCUCGGGAGCAGAGAGGAUGCCGAGCGGUUGUUUCUGGGUACGAGCUCUAGAGAUUUAGUAACUUGGAAUUCGUUGAUAUCGAGCUAUGCGGCGGCUGGUUUAUGCGAUGAAGCUUAUGACAUCUUUCUACAGAUGGAUCGAACAGGAACAGGGGAGCUGGCGCCCAAUGUGGUGAGUUGGAGCGCAGUGAUUGGCGGGUUCGCAUUGAGCGGUAUGAUCGAGCGGUCGCUGGAGCUUUUCAGGAAUGUCGGGUCGUGCCCAAUUCGGUUACUCUUGCUACCGUUCUAUCUGCAUGCGCAGAGUUGUCGGCACUGAGGUUGGGCCGAGAGGUUCACGGANGGAACAGGGGAGCUGGCGCCCAAUGUGGUGAGUUGGAGCGCAGUGAUUGGCGGGUUCGCAUUGAGCGGUAUGAUCGAGCGGUCGCUGGAGCUUUUCAGGAAGAUGCAGCAAUGUCGGGUCGUGCCCAAUUCGGUUACUCUUGCUACCGUUCUAUCUGCAUGCGCAGAGUUGUCGGCACUGAGGUUGGGCCGAGAGGUUCACGGACACGCCGUUAGAGGAUCAAUGGUUCAUAAUUUGUUGAUAGCAAAUGGACUUCUCAAUGUGUAUUCGAAGAGUGGGAACCUUCGUAGUGCGCGGUUGGUGUUCGAUGGAAUGAGGAAGAGGGAUUUGAUAUCUUGGAACACCAUGGUUGCCGGGUACGGAAUGCAUGGGCUUUGCGACGAAGCUUUCGACACUUUCUACGGUAUGGUUAGGGCCGGUGUUGAGCCAGAUAAUAUAACUUUCGUGGCGGUUCUCUCUGCGUGUAGCCAUGCUGGGCGAGUAUCGGAUGGUCGUGAGGUGUUUGAUCAAAUGCUUAACAAAUAUAAAGUCUCGCCAGGAAUUGAACAUUACACAUGCAUGGUGGACCUUCUCGGGCGUGCCGGUCUGCUGAAAGAAGCAAUUGGGCUCAUAAAGAAGAUGGCAAUGAAGCCGAGUGUUUCCGUCUGGGGAGCGCUUCUCAACUCUUGUAGAAUAUACGGGAAUGCCGCGGUUGCCGAAGAUACCAUGAAGAGGUUGGGGAUCGAAGAAGAAGACAGUACGGGGAAUUAUAUCAUGCUUUCGAAUAUAUAUGCGGCGUGCGGGAUGUGGGAGGAGGCGAAGAGGGUGCGAGUGAAGACGAAGGAGAGGGGUUUGAAGAAGAGCCCGGGACAGAGCUGGAUUGAGCUGAAGAACAAGGUGUGUGUUUUCUCGGCGGGAGAUGCGUCGCCACCCGACGGAGAAGAUGUGUACGGAGCUCUUGAAGAUCUCUAUCGCCAAAUGGAGCACGAGAAUGAUAUUAUCGAGGGAUUGGAAGAAGAGUUUAAUCUUAACUACAUGGAUGAAACUCAGAGAAAUUUUUAACUAGAAGAGCUGAGCACAUUAUUUUCCAUUUUUUGAACAAAUGAAAGAAAACGUAGAGAGUUCUACUGUUCUACAUCAAGGCGAAUUAAAAGGAAUAUUUGCAUUUUAAGGAGCAGCAAUGCUACUCUUUUGCUGCAAAUUUGACUUAAAAAACUAUUACAAGGCAUUUGCCGUUUUAGCGUGGGAAUGUGGGAACAUAUUACAACAUUCUUUAUUCUCCGGAUGAAGCAAAACAUGAACGCAUAUGUAACCCAGUGUAAUCCACUGGUCAACUGUAAAAUAAAAAAAAAAACUCCAAAAAAAAAAGCUUUAACAAAAUUCAUUCCCCAUUAUAUAAAAAUAAGAAUAAUAUAAUAUUAAUAUCAUUUUCAUACACUAGCAGCUCCGAUGAGGACACAAAAUCUUGAGAACGAAAAUGGCUCCAACAUAACAAGCACCCUCCCGUACCCACAAACAACGGGGUAAAAAAUGAUUGACCACUGAUAAUACCAAAUAAUUUAAAGAUACCAAAAAUACCAGCUCUGAGUCCCCCUAACAUAGAUUAAGAGCAAGGGAAUCACAACACUAUACUCGACCACACCACAAAACAGUUUUUCCAAACCAAACUAAUCUGGAAACGCUUCCGUUUUAGAUUUAAUUACUGUUGCUUGCACUCAGCUGGUCGCUCUUGAGCUUCCAAUCCACCCUUCUGCAGUCCAAAAUCAACACAACUUAGAAAUUUAUCAAAAUUUAUAUAAAAAAUGGUUUUGCCUUUGCUUUUUUUUUUGUGUGUGUGUUGAAUAAGGUUGUAAGAAUAGAAACCGCACCUUUUGUCCGCUGGCCAACUGCUUGGGACAAACCGAAAAGAUAAAUCAGCAUCAGAAGCCAGAACAUAUUUCAGUAGUUUCGAGACUGAAAAUUGGAAACAGUUAUGAAGAACAUGAAAUUGUUACCUUCUUCUUGGUCUUUCCCUCCUCUUCCUCUUCUUCAUCGUCGUCAUCAUCGUCAUUCUCCUCAUCCUCUUCUUCAUCCUCAUCUUCCUCGUCUUCAUCCUCUUCAUCAUCUUCUUCUUCUAACCCUUCGAAAUCAUCCGCUUGAACAGCCUCACCCGUAAACCACGAGACCGCAUGAGGUAUAAUUUUAUCUCUAAUAGUGGACCUGCAUGGAAGAGAGAGAGAAAAAAAUGCUGACACGACUGAGCUACAUACUUUUUAUUCUCCUCAUCCUCUUUUACAGAAGCAGACGAGCUUUAAAUUAUAGUUUCUGCAUUCAGAACCUAAAAGCUCAUUUUUUUAUUCCCAUGACAGCAAAAGCUACAUACUCCUUAUUUGCUAUGCUCCUAGCUGUUGCUAUUCAGGCUAGAGGCUGUUUACGAAACCAGGACGCGAAAAUAUAUACAUUUACAAAAACAAUAAUUUUGUAGAAAGCUAAUGGAACAACGGAAAACUAUGAAUAAAUUGCUUACCCAAUAUCAUAAUCUUGCUCCAUUUGAUUCUGGAGUUCCUCAGCCUGGCCCAUUAGCAAAAGAUGAGCCAUGUAAAUAGAUAUUCUUAUAUUUCUCUAACAUUUUUUUUAAACUAAUAAGCAAGUCAUUUUCAACUUACAGUCUCUUCAUCUAUAUCCUCAUCAUCCUCAGGGACUUGUGGAGGAUUGAAAAAAUUAAAAAAGCUCUCGCAAGUUUCAGUUUUAGUGAUGGGCUUGGCAUUCUUCGAACCCUUUUUUGGUUUCUUUUUCAAAAUCUUCUGGGUCAAGCACUUCCCAGGAUACCACUCUAUCUCAGUCCUACAAUAAAAAUGUCAUGAUUAAAUAUGUAAGAGUAAGAGAUAUAAAGUAACAAUAACAAAAAAAAAAUUAUAACUAAUAUACAGUAAAGGCUAUAAAUUACCCUAUUGCUUUUUCUAAGAUUGGUUCAUCAUCAUCUAUCAUGUGAUAUGUUUUCGUCAAGACUGAAUUUUUGAAAUAAGGGUUGGCAUCAAAGAAGAAUUCAAGCUUGAAACCCUUGGGAUUAUCAAUUCUGCACCACUUGAUAUCUUUGAGAUACUUGAGGGCAUCCUCAUCACGCUCUUGAAUCUACAUGAGGAAAAUUUUCAUUAAAAGACGCCAAUAAGGAAAAAAAAAAAAAUGAUAAAAGGAAAGUUGUUUCCUUCUUAUUACCUCUUCAGUCAGCACUUCGUUCAUUUUCAUAGCAUUGAGCCAAAAACCCGGAACACCUUUUUCUGAAUCAAUAAAGCAAAAUAAAGAAUUAAUGAAUGCAGAAAGAAUAAGGGAGCAGAUUCUAUCUUCCAAAUUCCAUUAAAAACCUUCGGUCUUUUCACCAUCAGCAGUGGGUUCCUCUGCUGUUUCAUUUGUAAUACCGUUGACCUCCACUAUUCCAUUAACAAUAUCGUAUCUCUGCAAAAUAUUCAGUAAGAAGCAAGCAGAAUAAUGCUUGUGGCAAAAUCAUGGAAGGGCAAUAGAAGACUGGCACCUUGUCGCGCAAGUGAUGUCAAUUAGAACAUUAAUUAUUCCAUGAAUAUCUUGUUUGCACAUGGUAAUGAAGCACAGAAGAGAUAAGAAAGAAAGUCUUUACUAUACAACAUUAGAAAAAGUACCUUGAUGUAUAGUGGCUCAUAAAGCUUCUGAUAUUUAGCUUCGAGAGCAGCUCUCUCCUCGAAAAAUUUUGCCUCAAACUCAUCAUGUUGGCUCUAGAACAAUAAAGUAAUUUUCAAUCAGUUCGUUAGUAGGACUUCUAGUACUUUCCAGCACACAAGCAGAAUCUAUUACAUCUAUGCCCACGCUGUGGUAGAGAGAAAACCCUUAAUGAAUGCGACCAGUCAAAAGGAAUGCUUAUCAUCUUAUGAUCUUAUGCUAAUUAUCUUAUGCGGCUUGCCUAUCAAGUAAACAAGUAAAAGCAGACUUCACUAAGGGAAGCUAUUCAAAUUAAUCUUUGUUGGGAAAGGCUGUAAGUUGACAAAAAGCUCAAAGAAAACUAUCCAUAUGAAGUUGCUCAAAUUUGAGACCCGGGGCAGAAGCUUCUUUCCAUUAGGGUCUCAUAGUACAAAAUCAAUUAACUAUGACACCCAAUGAAUUAGGAAACCGGUCCAAUACGGAAGAGAGACACAAGCUUCAUAAACUUCCACAUUGCCCGUACUUCAUGUCGCAAAUGCAUCUACUCCAUGCCAUAUUACCACAUCUCCUUUUACUAUAUGGGGACUACAAUACCCCAUCAUAGCACACAAAAUUUCAACUUGUGGAAUUAAGGAAAAGUGACUCCAUGCUACAACUUAAAAAAAAUUAACAAACCUAACCAAGAAUGUACUGAGAAAACACGAGGAUGUUCGAAUUACAAGAGGAACAAAAGUUGCAAACCUACACUGCAGGAAAACAUGUGUAGCAACACCAUCACUUAUUAAGCCAUCCCCAAUUCCAAAAAGUUCUAGCCGAUACAAAUAUCUAACCAUUAAUCAAAAAUCAAAAGCUCUAAUCAUAUACAACAAAUACUUUACGAGACAUGCCCAAUUAAGCAUGAGUUGCACAUGCCAACUCUCCAAAAUAGCACUUUCAACUCUCAUUCAAACAGUAUGUUAAUGGAGAGCAAUGCGAAUCUGGCAUUCAACGAAAAUACAUAUUAGAAUCGCGUAACACUAAGCAUAAACUCUGCAGCAUAUACCAAAGAUACUAAUACAAUUAGGAACUUUAACCUACUAUUAUAAAAGAAAAGGAAUUAUAACCAACGGAGAAUUAUAGGGAAAAGCUCUGAGAUCAACCAGAAGCAAGAAUGAAAACUGAGAACUAACACCCAAACUAAAAAGAAGGAACUACAAUACCGCAACGACACCCAACAAAACAAGACCAAAUGGAUCAUUAGGAUCAGGACAAGGAAUAAAGACCAAACCUGGAUUUCCCUCAGCACCUCGACGCGCUUCCUCACAUUUGGCGAGAGCGUCUCGAGAACAUCCUUGUGUUCCCCAGCCAAGCUCUGCAGCUUAUUCUGCAGGAAAAAAAAAAAAAAAAAAAAACUCUUUCUCAGUAGAAAGCCCAAAUCUUUCAGACCAAUUACAACAUAAACAAGAUCUAGAUCACAGACAAAAGUUGAAAAUCACCGAAUACAGAGAUCAAACCUCACCUUUAGGGCAGAGACGAGCCCCGCCCGGUCCUCCGCGCUUAACCCUAGAGAUCAUACACACGUCCACGCAUCAAAACAAAGGACACAACACCGACUACGAGAUCUAACAAAACAAACAGGAAACCCUAAGGAGAGGGAUGUAGAGAGAGGAACCUGCGGCGACGGCGGGGAGGGCGGAGCCGAGAUCGUUGAGGUUGAGGGUGUUCUGCUGCUUGUUGUUGCUCAUGGCGGCUUCUUCUUCUUCUUCUCCUCCGCCGCCUCUUCUCCUUCUUCUUCGCCGCCUUGUCGAGUAGAGAGGGUGCGGCGAAGGAGAGAAACCCUAGAGAGGUAGAGCGAUUACGGAGGGAGAAAGAGGGUAUAAAGCGGAGGAGAUGGAGAGUGGGGUUUCUUGUGUUUAUAUAUACCAAGGAGAAAUUGCGUGGGCUGUGGGAGUAGGGUUUUACUCGCCCCUCUCUUUCUCCUCCUUUUUUUUUUUUUUUUUUUUUUUAAGUUGAAGCGGCGCGAUCGGAUUAAGAUCCGCCGCACAUUCGAUCUCGUGCACAUUUAUUAAUUACCAUUUUUAAAAUUUAAACACCACAUAAUCACAUACAUUUUUACCUAAUCUCAUUUAAUCACAUAAUUAAAUUUCUUAAAAUUUAUUUAUUAUUUUAUUUAAAGGCAUUAAAAAGUUUGAUACGAAUACAGCUAACAAAAUAUCAACUGAACGAAAAUAAGCAACCUAAUAAAGCUCCAACUUAAAUGGUAAGAUAAAUGCCAAAAACAUUAUUAUUAUUAUUAAUAAAUAUAAAAUAUAAUUUAGAUAUUUCCUUGUAAUAUUAUUUUGCCCAAGUAAUUUAGUUUUCCCUGAUUUCUUGUGAUUUUAAAACUGUUGUUUGGAAAACUGAAAACCUGAGGGACCUCUCUGCAAAAAUACCGUUCGCGCGUCGAAUGGAAUAUGCUCAUGUGGACCGUCGACUGUGCGAAUCCAGCGUCUUGGGCACCUGGUCGAUGUGGGGUCCACAAGCAGUGACUGAAUUUCCGCGCAACCGCCAAUAAUAUGCUGACACGUAAGUAGCUAGGCUGUUCGUUGUUGUGAGAACAAGAGCUGGUGCGCACCCGCACGGGAUCUAGGUAUCUAACCCGCUCGGGCGUUUCAAACAAGGUCAGACGAAUAAUUGCAUGCGCCCGGUGUACAAAACGGGGCCUCAAAAAACCCAAAGCUAUGGAUUUUUAAAUGAAAAAAAUCGACAUUGUUAGACUCGAGCUACAAUGCUUAAAAUAAAAAGCUUUUCCUUAACCCUUUUUUCGAACAUAACAAUGAUAAAAUUUUUAACACCGCUAGUUUUGCGACUAUUCUGUAUCUGUAUUGUAGAUUUUUAAUUAUUAUAAAUUUUAUAUAAUAUAGAGAGCAAUUUUGGAAUUAUCAAUCAAAUUUAAUAUAUAAUUGCUUGGGCUUAAAUUUUGUAUAAGAUAGGGCUUGAAGAUGUUUUUCUGUGUAGUUUACGUGAAUAGUUUGUUCUUCAAUAAAUAAAUAAAUAAAUAAAUAAAUAAUCUCAAAUUUUGUAUGUCCCAGUGCAUACACCGUGGCGCAUGCAAUAGUUUCUACACAACAAAAAUCGGGAGUGGAGGGUCGAUAAUCGGAUGUUGGUCCCAACCAGGUUAUAGGAUCCGACCCGAUAAAUUGCGAUCCGACUUAGAAAGCUUUUGUGGGGGUGGCCCACUAAAGCCCAUGAACAUCGGUUCACUUCAGGGCCCUACUUAGCCCACUUUCCACGCCCGCGAAUGUUAAAAAUUUAAAGGCCAUGUUAGAAAUAUUUGAACUACUGCUUUUCAGUUUUGAUUCUGUUCGUAAUAGCAAGCGUACAGUUCCUGUGAAUUGAGUGCUUUAAUUGCCAGCUAUGGACCAAAGGGGAAUCAAAAAUGGUUCAUACUGAAGCACUUAAAUUCGAAUUGUACACAACAUAAUAUUUGUACAUUUCAUUAUUUUACUAGUAAAGGAGCAAUUAACACCUGAAUAAAGACAUGAUCAUCUGAACUCACCAAUCUCAGCUUAUCCAGCACAUGGCCUGCCUUAUCUGAAUAAUAAAUUCGACCAAAUUUUGAGCGAUCAAGUGACACUUGUGAACUGGAGAAGGCUGCAUUUAAGAGGCCUUUUGCCAUGUAGCAGUUGAUUCCCAACUUCAAGCUUAACUUUCGAUGCAGCAGAUUACAUCAUACAUCAUGCGAAUAAUGAUCAAAUUCAAUAGGUCUACUCUUUUAGGAACAAAAACAAUAUUCUAGAAACUCUCAGAAUCCUUAGUUUAGCUUUACAAUCUGAAGAACAAUCUGUAACUUGAAAAAUCUUAGUAAGAGGAAAAUCCAAAAGAUGACUAUCAUUUCUCAUGAGUGAUGUAGUUUACCGGUGGAUUAGCAUUUAACAAACCAAGUUUUAGUACGAAAACUCAAUGAAUGCACAGCUCAGCACAAAAGUAGAAGAAAAAUAGAAGAUUAAAAAGACCUAGCAAAAUGUACAAGCUCUUCUGUUUCGACUGCAGAACUGCGUGCUUGAGAUGGCUUCACGUAUUAGCUUGGAAAUGACCUAAGCUUCCCGUUUCUUUGCCUGAAAUAAGUUCGCAAAAUCACUUACAGGAAAAACUACUUAGGUACGACUUAAUUUAGGAUGUGAGAGAGAUCAAGAUAACAUACCAAAACGAAUCCUUCUUUUCUUGGGCUAGUAGCUCUUCGAAUGAGAUAUCAGGAAGUUCCGCAGUCCCUUCUGUUGGAACUUUCUCCAUACUUGCACUGAUCUCAAGCAUCUAUAAUAAAAUUAAAAUAGUAAUUCAGAUAUUAAACAAUCUAAUUCUGUUUAUUUAUUUAGUGUUUGUUUGAGUCUGGCUGGAUUGAGGUUCUGUGCUAUUUGAGUAUAGUUGUUUAAAAAGCAUUAAUAGCUUCUUCAUUAGAUCUUCUCAACAAUUUCUCCUGCAGCAGAAGCUAGAGUGACAAAUUACGCUUCCACUUCCAGGACACAAAAACUUUGUUUUGCUUCACACCACAACAAAAUUUUCAUUCCUUCCAUUAGUUAAAAAUCUAGAAGCUUUGGUUUUGUAGAAUAAGCUGUUCCAGAACCGGCCCAAACAAGCACUCAGCAAUAUUGAAAGAUGAGUACCGUUUUGUAUGCAGGUGACAACUUAAGCUGCUCUUGAACUAAAUUAUAGACAGCAGCAUCCUCUUUUAGCCUCUUAUGUUCCACUUCUAACUUGUACAUCUGUGAAAAAUUGCAAACAGCAAUUGAUGAGAAUGCCAACAACCACCACUAAAAGUGCAUGCUAACAGACAGAAAAUAGCACAGCAAACCUGUUGACAAAGGCGAUCAAAUGAAGAUCGAUCGGCCUUGAAUAACAAUGCCUUUUUAAUUUUAAAACUCCGUUGAAUGAUCACAGACCUGUUAUAAUCAAAAUUACCUUUUAAAAUUUAAAUAAAAUAAAAUAAGACAAUAUAUAACGCCAGCAAGUGGAUUAGACUUAAGAAGGGGAUACAUACUUGUGUUGCAAUUCAUUUCUUGCCUCAACGAGACAGUUGAUAAACUGACCAACCUACAAAACAAAGUAAAAGUCUACGUUAUGCAAUCAUGAAUGAAAAGUAUAAAACAUUAUAAAUGAGAAAAUUUGGUGGUAGAGUAGCUGGGACAUGCAAUGCUGAGUAAGGAAAAUCAUUAUAGGCACGAUUGAGAUAAUAGAAACAAAGAGUAGAGUUGAACAAAAAAUAGUAACAGAAAACAUGAACAUUUCAGCACAAUGACAAUACAAUGAGAUUAGCAUUUUGUUACUUCUACAUCUGAUGGAAUCAGAUGUUCGGAUAAGAGAAACAAUUAGUAACUAUGGAUAAUAGUAUCCUAUAUUGUUCUUCUAGGUGGGUUACAUCCAAAUCAUUGUAGAAAGUGUGCAAUGUUUGUUUUACGACUCUAGUAGGACAAAAAGUCCAAUUUUUGUUAAUACACGCUGCCUACAACUUCCAAUUAGGCAGUUCGUCACACAAGAUUUCAGACAAAAGAAAUUAUGAGGCCUUCAAAUUGGCCUUCUAAGUUCUUUUGGAGCACAAUGUAAGUCCAGUUGUGAUAUAAUAAACAGAAUGAAACUUGUGCACCCAAUUCUACAUUCUAUCAAGUUCUUUUCAAGAAUAUCAAUAAGACCAAAAAUUUAAUCAAAAAAUUGGAAAAAAUAUAGUAACAAGCCAAUAUGUUGAUGAUAAAAGUAUUCCAAGAGCCAGUUAGGCAAAUUCUUCUAUAAGUAUAUUCAUAUGACAAACAGAUGAACAGCUAGAGAGUUGCCCGACCGAAUCACGUGUCAGACACUCACAAAGUGUGUGGAUUAAUAGCAACGUUAACAUUUCGAUCUUCUAUUCAGAUUGCUCGGGCAUUAGCAUUUUAUCAGCAGGAAGAUGUAAUUGGAAGGUUUCCUAGGAUGAUCACCAUUUCACCAGUCGCUAACACAACAAAAUAAGAUCAAAUCUAUGAAUAAUUACACAACAAUUCAUGCUAUCAAUUCACAUCAAAACGUUAUCCCACAUGAGUCCUACUACUCAAAUUCACAAUCGUUUGAAUCCUAACUUCUUCGAUCUAUCCAAAAUCAUAACUAAUCCCAUCACAGAGCAUGCGAAUUAGGGUUGAGAGAGAGAGAGAGAACCUGAGCGAUGGUCAAGACCUUAGCAUGGCUGGAUUUGACGAGCUCGUCGUACUGCGACUUGAUCCUCCUCUGCAUCGCGCUCCCGAACGAGGACAAGGGGAAGGGGCAACCCACCGCCGCCUCUCUCCACCGCUUAUCUCCGCCCUCCACCUCCUCCUCGGCCGCCCCCGCCGCCGCCGGCGCCGCCGCAGCCCCAUCCUUCGCCUCCUCUCCUCCCUGCCGCUUCUUCCGCCCCCUCUUCUUCCUCUUCUUCUCCUCCCCCUUCCUCCGCUCGCUCUCCUCCUCCUCCCCCUCCCCGACUCCGCACGCCGCCUCCGGAGGAGUGUGCGAGCUGCGUUGGGCUUCGUGGGCCUCGUUGUUCUUGUGCUGAGCCUUGAGGUGAAGAGAGAGUAGGAGGAGGAGGAGGAGGAGGAGGAAGGGGGCGAAGAAGAGGAGGAGAGCUAGUGAUGAGGGUGGUGGGAGUGGUGGUGAUGUCGCCGCCAUGGAUGGGAGCUCGUCAUCCCCCACAGAGCAUAGAAAGGGAGUAGGGGGAGAGAGAGAGACGGAGAGAGUGAUCGGAGUGGAGCAGAAGCGGAGGGUUGGGAUUGCUUCCGAGUCAGGGCUUUGGAUUUCGGAAUACGUGUGGGGGUAGGCAAAGAGAAGGUAAAAUCUUUUGGACCACCGCGGGAUGUUUAUAUAUGUUGAGGUGGAUUCGGUGUGACGGUUGCAUGGGAUUCAUUGUGUUUCUGACAUGUGGGGCCCGCAGUUAGUCGGGGUCCACGUGGCAGCAUCAAUGCGGGGGUGGGCCUUAUCUGUUCGGCUGUAUCACUGACGUGUGGGGCCCGCAGUUCAAAAUACGGGCUUAUUUAUAGGCCGAACUGGGCCCUUAUUAUCCGGCCCAUUUUCUUCAUCAGGUCCAAUAACACGAAGCAACGGGCUUAGUCGUCGUCCCUAUCCUUUACCUUCCUAUUCGAGCCCUUGGAGGCUCUAAGCUCGAGCCCUUCCCUUCAACUCCCCCGAAGCCUCUCCGAUACCCUAACCAUUUCCGUACGCUCCUCCCCCCCCCCCCCNNNNNNNNNNNNCUCUCUCUCUCUCUCUCUCUCUCUCUCUCUCUCUCAAAGCUUAGUGGGGCGAAGAGAGAUAACUACAGAGGCGAUCCUACCAUGAGCCGCUACGAUAGCCGCGCCGGAGACCCCGGCACCUACCGCGACCGGAGAAGGUGACCCCUCCCCAAAACCCCAACCCUAACCUUAAUCCCAACCUUAUGCUAGGGAAGGAGACGAUGCUUCGAGUGGUUGAUGCUUUAAUUCUGUUUUUCCGUUGUUGUUCCAGCGAUGCGGGAUUCAGUGGCGGCGGGAGGGGGUUCGAGUCCUCGAGCAGGAGGGAGGCGCAGGGCGGAGGCGGCAGCGGCGCCGCCGCCGCCGAGUUGGACGGGCUGACGCCAUUCGAGAAGAACUUCUACGUGGAGUCGCCGGAGGUAGCGGCGAUGACGGAGUCGGAGGUGGAGGCCUACCGCCGCAAGAGGGAGAUCACCGUCGAGGGCCGCGACGUGCCCAAGCCGGUCAGGGAGUUCCGCGAUAUUGGCUUCCCAGGUCUCUCUCUCUCUCUCUCUCUCUCUCUCUCUCUCUCAUGGAUUUGUUGCCUAGGGUUAUAGUUUGUUGUAUGACAUUGACUAGUGUAUACUCCGCCACACUUGUAGCUUGACCUAAGUAGCAACGAUGUUGCGAUUGUACCUAGUGAAUUGGAUUUUGUGGUUCCGAAAAUGGAGAAUAGAAGUAAGGUGAAAAGAAUUGGAAUGGGAGACUCAACAAUAUUGAAAUGUGCUUGAACAAUCUUUAAUGGAAAAUGUUGGACUAUUAGUGAUGCGGCAGAGAUAUGGUAAUUGUAGUUCCAAUCAUCCAGGGAUGGUGCGAUAAGAUUACUUGUGCUGGGGCAACUUUCAAGUAAUAUAAAUGACUUUCUAGUUUUUUAGCAAAAGUAUCAAGGGAGGUAAAUUGGACAGCACAACCUUCUCCAUCUUUGGAUUUUAGAAAGACUCCAUUAUUUGUAACCGAUAAGUAAGAGAGCGAGGGAACAGAUACUUUAUAAUGGGCUCUUUAUCGAAGAUAUUCUAAGAGGAGGUUGGAUGCUCUUUAUCCCGCUAGUACUUUCACAAAAUGAAAAGGAAAUUUUUGGUCAAUGAAGUGUUGAAGAAAUGAAGUGAAGUAUGUUUGGAAGUGACAUAUCAAAAACAGAUCCUCAACUAAAGGUAGCAUCUUUUGGUUAUUCUAGGAAUGUCUAGAGCAUUGGUUGCAGAUUGCUUAAGUAGAGUGGACACAAGAUGGAAGAUAAUUCCACUUCCAUGGAAGGAUAGUCCAAUUUCUCUGUUUGCGUUUUUUUGUCAUGUAACAUUGUGUAGUGCACUAGUGCUGUUAGAACUAUUUUGUAUUUUAUCUCAUACGAUGCAAUAUUAUCUUUAUUUUUUAGCCGUGCUUUCUCUUUCAUUGCCUGAUAGUAUUUCUGAGCUGUGUGUGUGUGUGUGUGUGUGUGUGUGAUGAAUGACUAACAUAGGUUGUGCUUGUCAGCAAUAUUUUUCAUCAAAUGUUGAUGGAUUGCGGUCUCUUUUUAGCUUUCUAAACCCAAACUCUUGCUUUUAAUGGAAACUUUGUUUUGCUUUUGUCACGCUUAUCACUACAUUCUGGGAAAGAUGUUUCUGUUAUGCAAUAGGGGAUAGCAUAACUAUUUUACCUUUCAUUUUGUAGAUUAUGUUAUGCAGGAAAUCUCAAGAGCUGGUUUUGUUGAGCCUACUCCUAUUCAAGCACAAGGCUGGCCAAUGGCAUUGAAAGGUCGUGAUCUUAUUGGCAUCGCUGAAACAGGAUCAGGAAAAACACUUGCGUAUCUCCUACCUGCCAUCGUUCAUGUUAAUGCUCAGCCAUUUUUAGGUACAAACUUGUUGCCUUUCCAUGUCAGACACCAAUCAAAUUUAACUACUUUGCGACUACUUUUUAAAUUCUUCAUCUUGUCUUCUCUUAAGCACCUGGUGAUGGUCCAAUUGUCUUGGUAUUGGCCCCGACCCGUGAACUUGCUGUCCAGAUACAACAGGAGGCAACCAAAUUUGGGGCAUCUUCAAAGAUUAAAAGCACUUGUAUAUAUGGUGGUGUUCCAAAGGGACCUCAAGUUCGUGAUCUCCAGAAAGGUGCUAAUUUCUUGUUGAAUAUUUUACUCUAUUUGCUGUUUCAUUUAAAUUAAUUAGGGCACAUUAUGGCAAUUGUUGAUGCCAACCAUGUCUUAGUAUGAAACAAAAUGGCGACCUUAAAAUAGAGAAAGGACAAUAAUGAUCCCAAAAACACCCGUAGUUUUUCUUUUCUUUAUCAGGGUGUGGUUUUCCAUGCUUACUUCAUAUCCCUUAUUUUUACUGAGAUAGAGGGUAAACUGAAUGAAUUUAAUGGACGGGAUUAUACUUGUCAGGUAAAAAUAUUGUCAUGGCAAUAUUAGGCUAAACUAGAGACCCUUAAUGUUGAUAUUUUCUUUUGAAUAAUGCUUUUGUAUCAGGUGUUGAAAUCGUAAUAGCUACGCCCGGGCGAUUGAUCGAUAUGUUAGAGUCUCAUCAUACAAACUUAAGAAGGGUUACAUAUCUUGUUCUGGAUGAAGCAGAUCGUAUGCUAGACAUGGGGUUUGAACCUCAGAUCAGGAAAAUUGUUUCUCAGGUACACAAGAUUUUCCUCCCCCUUCUGCUGUUGUUCUUAGGAUAUAUUUCAUGACAAAAUAUUUGUAAAUUGAAGACUCUGGAGAUGCUAUGUGUCAUGGCUUUUUUACUCUAGCAACACCUCACAAGUAUGCUCUAUUGAGGUCAGCUGCAGAGCACCCAUACAUGUUUUCCGAUGAUGCAGUUUGUCUUCUUAAUGAUUAAUGUUAUGCUCCCUUCUAAUGGAGUAACAUUAUUAUAUCUAAACCAGUAAAAGGUUAUUACCCAGUCAUGAUUCCCCUAAAAUGAUGUUCUGGGAGGAAGACCAUACUGAGAGUCCUAUCUUCUCAGUGCUUUUGGACAGAAUGGUUGCUCUAAAUUCUAAUGAGUUGAACUUGCAUUACCUCUUCACGUUUUAAUGGCUUACUCCAUAUUAUAUUCACACCAUAAAGUUAUUACCUCAAAAAACGGGAUGAAUAAUUUAUUCUUUAAUUGUCAGAAUUGUCGCGUUUUAGAGAUUUAGUACUUAUCUUCUGGCUUUAUCAUAGGAAAAUUGCUUACAGUUGUUUUUAAUUGUUCACUGCAUUAUAGAUCCGCCCUGAUCGUCAAACUCUCUACUGGAGUGCUACUUGGCCGAAGGAAGUUGAACAGCUAGCAAGGCAGUUCCUCUACAAUCCAUACAAGGUAAAUAUAUCAUGGCCAAGCAAGGCUUUGCAGGUGGGUUCGUUGCAUUAUAUCAUCUUUACCACAUCUGACCCGAUCGGCUCCUGACUGUGGCACAGGUGAUUAUCGGUUCUAUAGACUUGAAAGCUAAUCAUGCUAUUCAUCAGCGUGUAGAGAUUGUAUCAGAGAGUCAGAAAUAUAACAAGUAGGAGUCCCUUAUAACGAUGAUUUGCUAAAGAAGAAUAUUUUUAUGUGUGAUAUUAUAAUAUUUUCCAUUAUUCUUUCCAGAUUGGUGAAGUUGUUGGACGAUAUAAUGGAUGGUAGCCGGAUAUUGAUUUUCAUGGACACCAAGAAGGGAUGCGACCAAAUCACAAGACAGCUGAGGACAGAUGGUUGGCCUGCUUUAUCUAUCCAUGGGGAUAAGAGCCAAGCAGAAAGAGACUGGGUUCUCUCUGAGUUUAAAUCUGGGAAAAGUCCUAUUAUGACAGCUACUGAUGUUGCCGCUCGUGGUUUGGGUAUGUUCGUGGAGGACAUCUUGUUAACUCUUAAGGCCUGUUUGGGAUGGCUGUAGCUUAUAGAGAACUGCUGUUUGGAUAACUAUUUGAAGAAUCACUUAUAUCUUUCCUAUAAAAUCCCUUGUCCGGCUUCUUGCUGCGUCAAAGGCUUUAAGCUGGAGCUUUUGUUUUUGGGCCGAAAAGGUCAUUUUAGCUUCACACCAAAGCAAAAGUUCCAGAUUACUCAUUAGCUAGAUGCAUUGUUUCUGGGAACUCUUACAUUCAUGAAUGUAGAAGCUGAUCAAGAAUCCAUGCCAAAUGGGCACUACAUUAGGAAGUUUAUUAAAUUGCCUUAACUGCUGUUCUUUUUUAUAAAAUAGAUGUGAAAGACGUGAAAUAUGUGAUCAACUAUGAUUUCCCGGGAUCUUUGGAGGACUAUGUUCAUCGUAUUGGUCGUACUGGGAGAGCAGGAGCCAAAGGAACGGCAUAUACCUUCUUCACAGCAGCUAAUGCAAGAUUUGCCAAGGAUCUAAUCAAUAUACUAGAAGAAGCAGGGCAAAAAGUAAGUCCUGAACUGGCUGCAAUGGGUCGCGGUCCCCCACCUCCCUCUUCAGGUUUGUAUUCUAUUACCUCUUAUAUAUUCUUGUUUUUUGGUGCAAUAGCAUUUGGCUGCUUGCUUGCAUCUCGCAUUUUUCUUUUUCUUUUUUUUUUUUUAACCUUUUUAAAAUACCAACAUAUGGUAUUGGAGGAACAUGGAAGAUCCCCAUCACAGCAAAUUAAACUUAAAGACCUCUCACUAGGGAGAGAGGUUACAAACCACAUGGCAAGAAAUACACUGGUCAGCAAUGGAAAAGUGCAUCUUUUCUAGUUGCUAGUGAGUGUUUAUUUUAACUGGACCAUCUAAUCAGUUUGGUUGCUGAUAUUAUUUUGAUCUUUAGGGUCCUGUAUUGUAUAAUUAAAAUGUCGAAGAGAAAUUUUGUAGUAAGCAUAACUUGUGUGAGCAACAGUAAAGUUUAAGUGACUGAUGAACUAUGAGGUGUGAUUUGGUCAUGAAUUUUGAUUGUUCUUCAAGCUAAGAAUUGAUCCAAAGUAGUGUUCCAUUGUUAUGUAACAUUAGGGACUGUUCUGAAUAAUUACUUUUGGACAGGUCAUGGAGGUUUUCGUGAUCGGGGUAGGGGUUUUGGUGGUGGCCGCUCAUGGAAUUGAUUUAUCUACUUCUCGUUCAUUUGGCAUAUUACUGCUAGAAGUGGAGGUGAGUAGACUUUGUUUCUGAGGCCAUGUAAAUCCGGCAUGCACAUUUGGCUUGCUCGGGCUGCAACUAUUAAGCACUCCAGUAAAAUGAACUUUUUGGUAUCAUCCUCUUUCGAGAUAGAUACUGUAGCCUUUCCCAUUAAAGACUAGCAAGCCGUGAUGUGAGGUUAUGUUUUGCCUCCCCCUUAUUUUGUGAAAUACAUUCAACACCCGAAGAAAUAGGCAGUAGCAUAUAUAUAACUGACAGUCUAUUGCGCACUGUUUGAGUUUUUGCGCUGGGAUGUAUUAAUCUCAUAAUCUUAUUAGAAUUAAAUGAGUCUCAUAAUCUUAUUACAAUUAAAUGUUUAAAUAUUAAUGUUGAACCUUGAGAUUUCAUUCUGCAAGUUUAUUUAGUUGAUAUUUUGAGUCUUUGAGUUUUGUUACAUUAGUUCCGACUUCUCUUGAUAAGUGCUUCCAUGACUUUUUACGGUCUUUUGUUGAUCUCUCUCUAAAUUCAUGCUUCUGCCUUCAUACGUUUUUUUUUUUUUUUUUAACCCCUCUUGCAUCCAAGUUGACGUGCAGGAAGUGGAAUUGAUUGCCUUGUAAUACAUAUGAUAGUACUGCUUGUAGUAGCGGCAUCACAGUAACUACUUUGUUCCUCAGGCUUAAUCACAUAGAAUAGAAUCUACCGGAGAAUUUGUUUGUGUGUGGUCCAAAUGUAGAUCCAAAUUGUGGUAGAAAAAAAUUGAAUUGGAGUAAAUGCAUAAUGAGUGUGAGCCUUAUAUAUUACUUUGAUGAUGUUAGUUUCUGGUAUUCCUCUCCUGUUUUUUUCUUUUUUUUCCCUGCUUUUGUUUUCUCUGUCCUUGUACUGUUGCCUUACUUCUCCCCAAGAUAAAUACUAGCCAACAUUAGAUCACGUAGCCUCUAAUUAGUGAUUGCUAGAGACUGACCAAAGAUUUCGAUGUCUCAUCACUCCCAAUUUGUGGACGGAGUAAUAUAAAUUUGCUUCUGGGCUAGCUAUUUAUUAUAUUAGUGCUUAUUAUUGUUCACAAAAAAGAGGCCACUUAUCAUACGUUUGCUGGGCCAAGCAAGAGUUUCUGCAUUGGUUUCUUUGAUUUGUAAUAUUUCGAAAAUACUUUAUAUGCAUUCCAGAAACAGCUUCAAAAGAUUAAAAUCUCCCUAUAAUGCCUUAAUUGUAGUUAAUUUAUAGUUUUCUGUUUGAAACCAACUCUUUUCGCCUUAUGUACAUCUUCUUUUAUUCUUUUUUUUUUUUUCUUUUGUAAAGAUAUAUAUUUCUUAAAGCUAAGUCCCCUGUGAUCUGAUCUUUUCCCUAUGAUAACAUUUCGCAGCCUACUCUGAACCCUAGGACGGCAAAAUUGUAUCCUCAUAAGAGAAUAAAUGGGCCCUUCGCAAACCUUCUCCUCUCUUCAUCUAGCAUCUUUUCUUUUAAUGCCCUAGAGGUGGCCUAACCUUUUCCCAGUGUGCAUGGGACAUUUCCGAUUGAGAGAGUAUCUAUUGGACCCACUCGUCUCUUUGUUUUCCCCCCUUUUCUUUACUGAUCUAUGUAAAACCUAGCGUAGUUUCCCAAACAGGAAGAUACCUUAUGUGAAAAAGGGGAAGGGGAAGUAAAAAAAAAAAAAAAAAAAAAAAAAAAAAGAACCCUCAAGAGACACAACAUAUAGAUGCACUUCGUUGGAAGGACCAUUCACGAAAAGAGGAAGAGGGAGGGUGUGGGCGUGGACCAUUAAAGCACCUAUAUCUGCAGCCCUCCACUAGAUCAAAAAGGAGUCAAAUAUAUGAAUGAUCCAUGUACUGUCCCAAUACAACAGUUUAUUUUCUGCUGCACUUUCAAAUUUAAAUACUUCACGAUCACUCUCCGCGCGCUAUACUUUGGUCUCUAAACAUUCGGAAAAUCAAAUCACACUUUCAAAGUAAGAUAAUAUAUGACCAUACUUGGAAGUAAACUGAGACAACUGAAUCACUACUUAUCUAGAUAGAAAAAGGUAAAACAUGAAUCGCGUUUCCAUAUGGGAAUAGUAGAGGGGAUGUACAUGCAUGUAUAUCUCUACUUGGUUGAGAUCAAGAUCAAGAUCAAGAUCAAGUGUGGGGAUAGGUAGGGCUCCAAACCCACUCAACAAUGAUCUCUGCUAUUACUGAUCUCAGCUCUCCCCCACCCUCCAUGGAAAGGAGUGGGUGGGUCUCUUUCAUAACUCUGCAGUGUGCACUAAUAAUAAGUGGUGAGAGGGAGGGACAUCUUGUGUUGCCACAGUUGGUGUAUGGUCUCAGUCAGGUUUGUGUGGUAAGGGACUGUUGUUAGGUCAUCUGGGCCAGCAUUAGGUGCAAUUUUUCUGUGGACCUGUUCCACCAUAUCAUACUUGCUUUUCUUACAUCUGACCNCCCCAUUUCUCGUUGCUUAAAAGUUUGUCCGGAUGUCUGAAUAAGUCAUUCAGCGGCAACUUUGCACUUCAUUUUAUUUUCUUUCUUUUUUUUUUGUGUGAUUGCGAUUCAGAACUUUUGCUUUCAGUUUAUCAUUAGGCGUGACAAAUCAUAAAGCAUUUCAUUCCGCAUAUGGUGUAAUUUAAAGUUCUUAUAUGUUAUGUUAUCAUACUCAUUUUCAUUCUUUGUAAGGCCACUAAGAAAAUGAAAAUAAAAAUAAAAUAUCGAACUUUGCAUUCGCAAACGAAAUUUCUCGUAACAGAGUACUAAUUAACUACUACUCUAGGUCGAAAAGAUCAAUACAAUACAUAAACUGUUGCCUUAUAAUUGGGACAUCCAAAAACAGCCUUAAUGCAAUUUUCGAAUAAUUUGACUCGUACUAGCUUUUGAUAUUGAUAGGAACACAUUGCAUGAGCCCUCACUCUGCUUUAGUAAUCAGCUUUUGCCUUGUGGGCCCUAAUGAAUGUUGUGAUUCUUAUUCAUUCAGCGUAGGUUUCAUUGAUGACAAAAUGGCUUUUGGAAGAUCACUUGCUGUGUAAAUCGCUUACUCCAAGAUCCCUCCGGAAUUGGUAAGUGAUAUCGACAAGAAAAUUCCCUGAAUGUAAUGAUCUAAAUUAGACCAAUUUUGAGUCCUACGUACUCUCGCAAAAACAAAAGUUUAUGGGACCAUUCUCGCAGUGAGCUUGUUAAAUCUAGCGUCUAUUAUUGUUCGUGAUUCAAGCACCGUAUAUACAGAACUUAUCUGCUGUAUGGACCAUUUUGAGUCAGUUGUCUAAUCCUUCAAAAUUUUAUUUUACGUUAUAACUGACUAAAUCUGUAAAGAUGAACGACGAAUUCAAAUUUUAAGAUUAAAAUACUGUUUACUGACUCAAAUCAAAUAAAUUAAAAUAUUGAAUAGUAAAAUAAAAUUUAUGAAAGAUUGGAUGGUCAACUAAAAAUGAUUCAUAAUUCAAAAACUAGUAUUUACGUUUUUACCUAUAAUAAUGAAGAAUGAAUUUGAUGAUCUCAUUACAAUAAUGGUUUUAUAAAAACUUUUAUUCCUUUUCUCUCUCACUUGAUGAGGUCCAAAUGUUACAAAAGGUUACAUGUGUAAUCCAACGAAAUAUAUAAUAGCUAGGGCAAGGGGGUUAAAUGACUAGGGAGUAUCAUUAUCAAUAUAAAAAAAAACAUUAAUUAUUUAUAAUCUCCAUCAUGCAUGAGGUCAUUUCCACAUGAGCAAUGCUACCUUAAUUAACACCUAUAUUAUAGGUGCAAAUUUUACACUCUACACCGUCCACAGCCCAGAUUUAAUCACUUAUCUAACAAUUUUUUUUAAUACUAAAAAUCUAAAAUAAGUUUCUAAAUUUUAGAAUUAUGGGAUAUAGUAAAUACACCUCCACAAAACCAUUAUAAAGCUCCCUCAUCCUUUAUUUCCCAUUUUUGAUCAUCACACAUCAUGAUUAAAAAAAAAAAAAAACCAACUCUAAGAACUGAUAUGUACACACACUACUAACAUACCCAUCUAACAACCAGUUCAAAUGAAAAAUUAUAUUAAAAACAUAAAAAAAUAAUAUAAAUUUUUUAGAGUGAGGCUACUAUGCUUCCGGAAGUACAGAGCCUUCCGUGCUUUCAGGUCGUUUUUCAUGUUGCGACUUUCGAAUUAUCGAUCGGCUCUGUUAAACUUGAUCUAGAGUAUUUGAAGUACCUAGAAAAUAAAUUAUGCGAUUUUUCGAUAUUAUUUGCCUAGUGAACGAAGGGGCUCAAAAUCAACGACUGAAAAUAAAAAUCUUACAAAAUGUGAUAAUAUGACAUUAAAAUUUUAGAUCAAAAAUAUUGAUUUUGUUUUAUAUAGUAUAAAAAAUUUUCUAUCAAAAUUUCACGUGAUUUGGAUAUUUCUACACUGUUAAAUUUGCAAACGGCUCAUUACGAUCAUUAAAAUUAUUGAUUUUGAGCCCCUUCGAUCGCUAGGCAAAUGAUAUCGAAAAAUCAUAAAAUUUAUUUUCUAGGUACUUCAAAUACUUUAGAUCAAGUUUAACAGAGCCGAUCGACGAUUUGAAAGUCGCAACAUCGAAAACGAUCUGAAAGCACGGAAGACUUCGUGCUUCUAAAAGCACAGUAGCCUUACUCAAUUUUUUAUAUUUUUAAUUGUUGGUGUGAUUAUGAUAUGCGUUCUUAAGUUUAGCAUGACCAGACAUGGAGCAGCAGAAGCAAGAAGCCAGAGGUUGGGUUUCCCUAGGAAGCUGAAGCUGUAGCUUUUGUAGGCUUCUCUCUAGGCUCUGCACACUCCUGCCCCCUCCAGCCCUCCUCCUCUCCAAAGUCCACACUUCCCAAAAACCAGCUUUUAACUAGUCAAAGUUCAGACCCCUUGACCAAAUUAACUGUGUCUCUGUCCCCACAAAAUUUAAUUCUCUUGUAUACUGUGAUAUAUAUAUAUAUAUAUAUAUAUAUAUAUAUAUAUAGAGAGAGAGAGAAAGAGAGUUGAGCUAAAAUACUCUCGAAAGCAUCAAGAGAGUGAUACUUUUAAAUUUUUAGUUACUGGAUGAAGAGAUAUAAGAUUGGGAUGAUAGCGGUAGGUGAUGGUAGAUGGAAUAGUGUUUAAUCCAAGAGCUAUAAUUAGUAAUCAAGGAGUAGAUCCAAGGACUAGAAAUCUAGAAGCACUAAGGGGUUAGUGCUUCUAAAAAUAUUCUAGCUCAAUUCUAUAUAUAUAGAGAGAGAGAGAGAGCAUGAUAUACUAUCGAUAGCACGGAGGCCUCCGUGCUAUCAAGUUAUUUUCAAUGAUGCUGCUUCCAAAUCGACGAUCAGCUCUGUUAGACUUGAUCGAUCUAUACUAUCACAUAUAUAUAUAUAUAUAUAUAUAUAUAUAUAUAUAUUAGAGCUAUUAUAAAUCUCUUUGUACUCAUAAAUUUUCGAUCAUUUAAUGAAAAAAUAUAUAGUUAGGAUGAUAGUGGGCCUUUAGAAUAGAGUGUGUAAUUAGUUGAAUAGUAUAAUUUAACAAAUAAAAAUGGUCAAAAGAAUAGAUCUAAUGGCUGAAAAUUUAUAAGUACAAAAGAGUCUAUACUCAUAAAAGUAUAGUAGGCAAUAUAUGUAUAAGAUGAAAAAAAUUUGGGAGACUCCCCCAACUAUAAGCCUCUUAAUUUGAAAGGGCUAGCUCCUCACAACUUAAUAGUUUUAACAACAUUUUUUUUUGACCGACCGUCCCUAAAGCAAGUAGCAAAGGACUUAGUGGUUGGUACCCGAGGUCCCAAAUUCGAAUCCUAGUUGAUUCAUAUUUCCAGCUAAGUUUAUUUUUUAAUGAAAUAAACGAAGCAGGUAGCGUGCUACCUAUCUCUCAAAAAAAAAAUUUUUUUUUUGACAAAUAAAGCUAAAAUUAUUAACAACUAAUAAUACUUUUUUACUUAACUAAUUAGAAUAACAAGUUUAGAGAGCGACUAAGACGAAAAGUAGAGUCGAGAGGCAUAUUUCAAAAUUGCCUACUCUUACGAAGCUGUCUCCAUACAUUUGUUAUCUUAUUAUAAAUUCGUAGUGUAGGUCUACGGAGGAUAUAUAUAUAUAUAUAUAUAUAUAUAUAGUAAAUAUACAACAUAAUGUACAGGGUCUCUUGUGCAAAAAGUACGACCCCACGUGCGCCUGUGUUCUUCUCAUCCCGUGUUCACACGUGCGCAGAAGAGGAUCUUGGACCGAGUCAGAGUUGCAUGCAUGCGUGGGGUUUUUAACUCUUCCUUUUCACACGGAUGGGCAUCCUCCCCUUCAUUCUUACUGUUGGGAAAUUUACAAUUUGGUCGUCCUCGGCCACCCACCUGUGGGCACAUGUGAACACACACACAUCACACACAUGCAUGCACUACAUACACCAUCAUGCGUGGGAUCAAUAUACAUGCAUGGAGAAUGACACAUGCAUACAUUUUCGGUUUGCAUUCAUUUUUCCUCUGAAGAUCAAUCACAUCAAAGACAUUAGGAUUUUUUUUUAAAAAAAAACUAAGAUGGUAAAAACAAAAGUUAUUGAAUGUUUCGAGUUUAGAGUGAUAUGUAGUUUGAAAAGCAAAGAAAACAUGGUUAAUUAAUGGUUCAAAAAUUUAAAGAAAAAGAAAACAAAAAAUCAAAGUUCGAGAAGUACCUAAGUAGCUACUUCAAAUUGUCCUACACAUGCAUAUAUAUACUUUUAACUCCUCGAAAAUGCUGUUAAUUUAGAUAUCAACUAAUUAAAUGAAACGGAUUUUAACAUUCUUUUUUCAGGGAAAAAAAAAUUAAAGCUUUUUCUAAAUAAAUAUAUGUACGAAUAACAAGAAGUAUGAGUAAAAAAGAACAAAUGGAGAAUGAGACAAAUGAACACCUAUAGCAAUAGAUGACAAGCUAAUGUUUUUCGAUUUUUCAUUUGUUAUGGAAUAAAUUUCAAGCAAUGGACAACAAAAUGUGCACCUAACAUGCCGCAUCAAUAAAUAAAUAAGACAAAAUAAUAAAUAAGACAAAAAUAGGAAUAUUGCCAAAUCAUAAAUCACUACAAGAAAAAUAAUGCUUUUUCGGUAUUUAAUGAUGCUGAAAAAUGUUUCGAAAUAGUCUGUUAAUCAUAAUUAAAAGCGUCAGCAAAUAAAAAGUUGCAACAUAUAACCCGGCGCUUAUGCCAAGCGGCGGCAAAACAUAUCUCAAUGUUUUUAAGCGUCGAAAAAUUAAAAAUAAUAGAAAAGCUUAUUAUUCAAUAAAAUAAGUUUUGUUAAAAAGUGUCCUUAUAAUAAGAUUUUUUUUAUAGCGUUUGUAGUAGUAUUGACAAUAAGAAUAAUUAGUGAUAAGAGAUGCCAAUGCGUUUGUACUUGGGUAUAUUUUGCUUACUUAUAUUGAUUACAUCUGUUACAUUAUAUACGUAUUAUAUUUUUUUAUCAUUCAUUAUAUACCCCUAAAUUAUCUAUAAUAUUUUUAUUUGAUCAACUAAAUUAAAUUUUAUUAACUACGUACCAAAGUAUCUCAAUUAAAGAUUCAAAAAUAAAGCGAAGGAUGACACGUGCCAAGGACACAUGACCAUGUGGACAUGUCACACACUUCAUUGGUCCACCUUGGAUCAUUGACCACUUGUGUGUGUAGAGACUUCUAUACUUUCAAAAGAACAGCUUUGUGCUUGUAAGUUAUUUUUAAUAAAAAAAACAUCCGAUUCGACGAUCAAUUUUGUUAGACAUAAUUCAUAUUAUUAGAAUUAUCUAUAAAUUAAAUUUAUAAUUUUUUAACUUCAUUUGCUUAGUGAACAAAUAAACUUAAAAUAAAUAACUGAAAAUAAAAAUAUCAUAAAAAAUAGUGAUAAAAGACUCAAAUUUUAAAUCAAAAGUAUUGAUUUUGCUAUUGAUGUUAAGUAAAAUUUUUUUACUAAAUUUUCAUAUAAUUUGAAUUGUUAUACACCGUUCAACUUAAAAACGUGUUAUAUCAACCGUUAAAAUAAUUAUUUUUGAGAUAUUUUUAUCACUUAGUAAAUGAUGUCGAAAAAUUAUAAAAUUUAGUUUAUAGAUAGUUCUAAUAGCGUAAAUUAUAUCUAACUAGCGAAACUGAUCAUCGAAUUGGAUGUCUUAUUAUAGAUUACAAAUAUAGAUGUUUCCAUAUAUUCCAAAGCAGAAAAGACGUACUCUCUCUCUCUCAAAAUAUAUAUAUAUGCUCAUCAAUGUUCUCUAAUAAGGUUCGUGCACAGGUGCGGUUUAGUGCGUGUGCCUCGUGCUUAAGCUUAAUUAGCUCAUCCCCUCACAUGCGUACGUAAACCCCGGCCUAAUAAAAAAGAGCAGGUACGUGGGGGACGGUGCGUGCCAUGCACAUGUGUGCUCCAUGCUUAAUGUAUAAAUAAAAAAUAAAUAUGUAUAAUUAGUAAAUAAGCAAAUAAAGCAUAAAUUGUACCAUCAAUCGAAUCCUCAAAUUAUUGUGCAGAUUCUCCUUAACAAUCUCCAACUUUAAUUUCCAUGUGUUUUACUUCUACUAUUAUUAUGGAGAGAUAUUACAAUCAAAUUUUGUACGAUAUAUUUCUGUCCCUUAAUCAGUCUAAAAAAAUAAUGGCAUGUCAUUUUGAUCCUUAAAUACCGGUAAAAUUCGACCAAAUUAUUUUCUACAUAAUUUCGUGUUUGUACGUUCAUUGGUUUUAUAAAAUAAUAAAACUUGAUUGCGAUAGAUCUGAUAUUCAAAAAAUUAAAUCCGCAAAAUGGAUUGAGGAGAUAUGAAAUAUUAGAGAAUUAAUCAGUGGCUAUGUUAUGUUAUAUAUAUAAAAAAAAGAAUAUCCUUACGUGAAGUUGGUGACCAAGUGGUGUAGAAAGAUGGAAGCUUCCAGCCUGGCCAGAUCAAGCCCUGGGCACAGCCUCUGCCCACCUCCAAAAGGAGUAAAGCUCCAAGUACUGAUGUCCUUCUCCUGUGCACAUGUCGGGUUAGAUACAUAAAAUAAUAAUAGAAAAAAAAAGUGAACAAGCUAGAAUACUAUUAAUAGUACUAAGUCAUUGAUAAUAUUAAGUUUUCGACUUUUAGAUGAAGCGAUGAGGGUUACGAUGAUAGUGGUCAUCUAGAAUUGAAUGAGUGAUUAGUUAAAUAGUAUGAUCUAACGGAUGAAAAUGAUCAAAAAAGUUGAUCUAACGGCACAUAAAACUUUGGUAGCACCAAAUGUUUGGUGCUACGAUAGCAUUGUAGGGACUGAAAAAAGAUACCUAAAUAUAUAGAUCUUGGAUAAGAUAAGCAAUCAAUAUACAUAGAUUGAGAUAGAGAUAGGCAUAGAUAGAGAAAGAAAAGAAAAGGAGAGAGAGAGAGAUAUAGGUACACCAGCAACUUGCAUGAAGUUGACAAACACCCUCUCCUCUCCUCACUUUUAUUUCCCUUGUGUUGUGUAAAGGAGAGGCAGAUCUCUCUACAUAAAUCAAUCAUAAUACACGUACAGUGGGGCAAUUUAUAAUUCUGUUUCUCUCUUUUACCUUCCACCUCCAUGGAUUGAACUUGUAGGGAUCCUCAUAAAGGCUCUCGUCGAGGUGGACCGAUCGGAAGUACGUGAACACGCACCACCCUUUCGGGAUGAAGUGCCCUUUGAUCUCGACGUCCCUCACCGCUUUGCGCAUUAUGCCGCUGAUUAUGUUCCCCAUGCGUAGGGUUUCCGCUAUCGCCUGUUGAGUUAAUACAUCAUGCAUUACGCUUAAUUACUAUUUAAUUACUAGUCUUAACCUAAUAUGAUCGCCUAUAUAGAACAUAUAUAAUCACGUGUAUAUAUGGAGAUACUUACGUGUUGUGUGAAUGAUAAAGACAUGUAGUCGGUCCACUCUAAAUUCUCCCCCUUCAUUAGCUUUUUCUCCCUUAGUUGCAUGUUUUCUUCCUGAGAUAGUUCCAAGUAAUUUAAUUUGAUAUACGAUCACAUGGACCAUAUAUAUAUAUGUAUAUAUAUAUAUAUAGAUUGUUUUGACGGAAAGAGCCACAUAUUAUUAACCUAAGCUUGUUAUUGACUUGGGUAUUAUAACGUUUUAAUUAAGUUGUAAAAUUCACUAUACAUGUAACUCCAUAAGGACAAAUUUAGCAGCAUUAUUAAUUGUUGGUGGAAGCUAACAACCAGUAGGUGACUAGAUCAUUCACUAGCAAGAAGCGCCCGAGUUCAAAUUUUAUUACAAUUUUCGACUAGAAUGGAUUAAUUAGACAAUCAAAGACCAACACAUGACAAGUGACUUAAAAAUGAUAUCUCAUUGCCAAAUACAAUAAAUUAGAUAGAACGUAACCAUAUCUUCUUCUAUUCUUUAAUAGUGGUAGGGUCUGUUUUAACCUAUUAAUUUAUACUAAUAAUAGAUAGAACCAAUUAAAUUAAAGAUAUCGAUGAUUAGAAACUACGAAGAAUGUAAUGUAAUUAUGUAAAUCGCAUUACCUCUAAUUGCUUGAGAGCUAGAGGGCAUUCACUGAGAUACUUGACCGCUAACGUGACGAGAACGGGAACCGAGUCCUCAGCAGGAAUCAUCAAAUCGAUCAUAUUAUCCGAGAUCAACUCGUCGGUCAAUAGAUUGCUACUGUCGUUAAUCAACACAUCGAUCGCAUCUCGAGGAGCGCGACUAUUGGUGUUCCUCCUCUUCUCUUGGAUGAUUUUUUGAAUUAACGUAGCCAUCCUCUUCUUUGCCUAUAGGAAUUGAUGAGCAUUACAUAUUUCUAACAUUCUUAAUUAGUAAUACAUCAACAUGAACAAUGCCAUACAAUCUCUACGUGCGUAGGAAUAAAUUAAUGGUGCAUCAUGUUGUCAAUUGAAAGAGUUAGAUUAAAUUAAUUACCUUUAGUGAUCUAUAAAGCCUGCUCCCUGGUACUUUAAUUGGCAAGGACAUCAACCCAGCAAUAAAUUCUUGGAACUGUUGCUUCAGGAAGUCCAUUUCCUUCCCUGGCUCCAACCCAAUCAACCCUUUCACCAGUAUUUGGAACACAAUCUGUUGGGGCAAAAUACGAUUCCACAAAUUAAUUAGCUUAUCAACUCCAUAAAACCAUCAAUAAUCACAUGAACAAAGAUAUAUCUUCGCAUGCAAAAAUUAUUAUCAACAAAACAGCCGGGUCAAGUCAAUUUCAUAAACUAUAAUUUUCACUCCGUAUUUGAGUGUGCGUUGCGCGUAUGACUAUGUUUUUAUUCCACGAAAGGUAAAGGCCCACAAAAUUAAUGGUGAUAACAACGGGUAGGCACAAGCAUCGCCCCGACCCCUUGAAAGCUCAUUGAAUUCAAUCACUGUGGCCGUUCUUAGACCUUCCAUGUGGUGACACAGGUGUGCACGCGUGCAUCCUUAAUGUGUGUCAGAGAAUGAAGCAAAGCUAACAAGAGAGAGAGAGAGAGAGAGAGAGAGAGAGAGAGAGAGAGAGCGAAAAAAAGAACAAAAAAAAGAAAAAAAAAAAAGAAGAAGAAGAAGGGAGAUCGAUUAAUUAAUACGAGUCUAGAUAUUUUGGCCUACUUUAGGGAGUACGAUCCUACUGUGAGUAAAUAUUUUUAUAUGCAAAUAUUAAAGUAAAUUUUCUUUAAAUCCUAUUUCUAAUUUUUGAAACUUUGUAGUUAAUUAACCAAAUAUAUUAUUACAGAAAAAUAUUUAUAUCCGUCGAAUUAUACGUGUACGCAGAAUAAAUUAUUUUUUUGUAUAUUAGUACGAGUUUUACGGCAGUUUUUUAUAUUCUAAUUUUACAUACACCUAUAUAAUUAUGCGUAACCACAAUUUAAUAAUAAUAAUAAAAAGAAAAGGAGGACUAACCAAUUUGGCUUCAUCUUGUAUGCGGACGAGGUGCGGGCGAUGAUGAUCAGGACCGUCCACAGGCCAGCGGGCCAUGGAGGAGGCCACGUAGCGCUGCAUGUCGCUGGUGAUCUGCGCCUUCAGGUGCGGCGACUUGAAGAAGGCGCCGAUCAGGCCGUGCACGCGGCGCUGCAGGCCGCCGUUGAUGAGCAGGAUCGACGACUUCCCCAUCAACUCCGUCAGCGACUUCGGGUACGACGGCACGAACGAUCGCGCGUCGCUCUGCAGCACGAACCGGCUCACCUCCGCGUCCGUCGACACGAUCGUCGGGCUCCCGAAUAUGUGCGACUUGAACACUCUCCCGUACCUUAUUCAAACAGAUUCACAAAUUAACUACCUACCUACCUACCUACCAACCUACGUCUCAAAACUCAAAAAUUACUUAGUUUUAAAUUUUAUUUAACGAAUAAUAAUAAGAUUAAGAAGCGGCUGAAUUCAGAUGUGAUACUAGCUUCAUUAAUUAGAAAGUGGGCGGGAACGAAAGUCGACAAUGGCUCACUUCCGCCACCGCAUUAUCAAUAAUUAAUUUAUUAUAUAUAUUUUUUUUUCUUAAAAAAAGUUGAUAAAAUUAGUUUUUAAUAAUUAUGAUAAAGUAAGUGAAUUUUAAAAAAUAAUUAGUUAGAGACGUCGCGUCUCAUCAAUAGUAAUAUAACUGAUGUAUUCUAAAAAAAGAGAGAGAGGGAGAGGGAGAGGGGAAGGAAGCUCACAAGAGGCGGCGCUUCUCCAUGAAGGUCUCCGGGCACGGAGAGUAGGCGGCGGAGACGAAGUCGAUGGUUUCGCCGACGAAAGGCCACCCGAGAGAGCCUCCGGGGAGUUGGGCUCUUCUCAGCUUCUUCCUUCUCCCGAGCACCCAACUCUUAACAUGAAAGAUCGAUGUUACUCCCACAAUAAUAAUUAUCACUAACACGGCUGCGCACAGCAACAUCAACAACCAAGUGCUCAUAUUGAGAGAGAGAGAGAGAGAGAGAGAGAGAGAGAGAGAGAGAAGAGGAGAAGUAGAGUAGGGAAAUUUUGGUGUUCGAGAAGGCAAAGUACAAAGUAGGAAUUUAAAAGGGGUAGGGGGAGUUCCCCCUCUACAAAUAAAUGGUUGCAUAGUCCCCACCUCACGCGUCUAUGAUUGUAUGGCGCUACAGUACCUUUUCAUUUAUGUUCUAUUUUUCUUUUGUUCAUAUAUUUAUUUUAUUUAUUUUUGUACUUUUCGGAUCGACUCCCUGUAUAUGUAUAGCUACUAGUAAUUAACCGGGUGCGGCACAAUGUACAUACGUACAUAUUUAUAGGCUGGGCCUAUUAUAUUCUUAUACUUUUAUGAGUAUAAAAUUUUUUGUACUCAUAAAUAUUUAAUCGUUGAUUGAUGAAAUAUGUGGUUAGAAUGAUGGUGGUUCCCACGUAGAAUGAUAGUGGUUCCUUGAGUUGAGUGGGUAGUUAAUUGAAUAGUAUGAUCUAACGACUGAAAAUGAUUAUAAAAUAAAUCUAAGAGCCGAAAACUUAUGAGUAUAAGAAUAUAUAUAUAUAUAUAUAUAUAUAUAUAUAUAUAUAUUGUGUGUGUGUGUGCACCUCCUCGUGCACGCAUGUGAGGUGGAUCCAUUCAAUAAAGAGGAGUACCAACCCUACAAUUUUUUAAAGAAAUUGUAGAACUAAAAUUUUAAACUAAUUCAGGGCACCAAGUGAAUUAUUUGGCUCAUCAAUAAAGAACUCAUUGAGGAACUCCUCAAUAAAUUUGUGCUUCUGAAAGGAACUCGUGUAAAUUUUCUAUUUUCAAAAGUUGUGGAAGAGUUAGAUUUCUAAUUAUUUUGGACCUCAAACCCAAAAUCCCCUCAAGAGAUCUUAGUGGUUUGACACGAUGGCAAACGUGCUAAAAUCACCAUAUCUAUUUCAUCACUAUAACUUUUAUUAUGUUAGUUACAACCUUACAAUAUUUCUUUUAAAAAAAAAGCCAGUAAGCUUAAUUAUAAUUACACUCUGUAUACAAAUCAGUGCCAUAAUGUAGAUGUCGUAUUUGACACACACACACACACACACACACACUCUCUCUCUCUCUCUCUCUCUCUCUCUCUCUCUCUCUCUCUCUCUCUCUCCCCGUAUAAUAAUACACGUCGACCAAAAUCCAAAUUAAGUCAUCAUCCAAUCCGUUGAACCCAAUGUGGCUAUCCCUCUAAUAUAAUCUUUGUUCCACACUCGUGUUUUUAUUUUAAUGUGGCUUAACAUGUGGUGCCCAGUUCUUUAUUGCAAUAAUCCUUAAUUAACCCAGGCCCCCAAUUUAGAAUACCAAGCUUUUGCUUUCCCUUGCUUUGUAAUGUUUAUAUAAGUGUAGUAAUUAAC
rnacentral:lncRNA from 1 species